rnacentral:lncRNA from 1 species
CUAAAGCCCCGCCGGAAGUUCAUCCUACUACAGUGAGACCAAAAUCUUAAGACAUCCUUACAAGAAACAGAUCAGAACGAGCUCAAGGCAAAAAAAUAUCAGAGUACCACGGGUGGUUAUCCUACUUCAGGAACAGUGAAGGACGAUCCGUUGCUCUGCACUGCAGAAAGAGCACAAAAACAAACAAGUAACAAGAAACAAGUCGACAAACAUGUCGCCACUAACGCGACCUGCAGGCAGGUCCAGCGACCCCCGCAGAAAGGACAGUUAAAUCUCAAGUGGCUUUCCCCAGUGAACAGUUGCAUCUCUCCCGGCCCCAAACAGUAAAAUCCUUCAGUGUCUUUCCCUUCGGCAACCCCCUUGCAGUAGUCUUGUCACCAGUUAUCCGAUCCGAGACCCGCAGAUUUCCGAGCGCAGAGCGUCAUCCAUUCGUGAAUCCGGAAUGUUACUUAAACCACCAGAGGCUUCAACCACCUUUGACGGCUCUAAUAAUCGCUCUGGCGUUCGAUCCUCCAGUUCCCGGAACCCCCGCCACCUCCGCGACCUCCAUAACCACUGCCACCACCUCCGCGGCCUCCGUAACCACCACCGCCUCCACCCUCACGAUCUCCAUAGGACGGGCGACUUCCGUACCCACCACCACCACUCCCACCGUAGCUACCACCACCUCCACCAUAGCCGCCACCACCUUCACGGCGUCCACCACCGCCUCCUCCGUAGCCACCACCUCCACCGCCGCCUCCUCCACGGGACUGCGCUUGGUUCACAGUGAUGUUACGCCCGUCCAACUCCUUUCCAUUCAUUUCUUUAAUAGCUUCGUUCAUGGCGUUCUCGUCAGCAAACGUGAUGAAACCGAACCCGCGAGACCUUCCAGUUUCCCUGUCGGAGAUUACCUUGCUCUGAAUAACAUCUCCGAAAGGACGGAACGCUUGCUCCAAACGGUCGUCGGUGGUGGCCCAAGCCAGGCCCCCGACGAAGCACCUAAAUUCUUCUCCCAUCUUGAUAGUAUGAAGUGUUCGAAAAAAACGGACAAGUAACAAAGAGGCGCAGGGUGAACCCUGAAUGCCUCGGAGAUCAGAGAAAAGGAGACCAGAGUAGAGGCAAGAGAGUGCAAUGAGAAUAGGGCUGCGGGCACGAGAUUAUGAGGGGUGCGGGGAGCAAGCCAUGCCCACGCACGACUUUCGGUAGUUGGCAGAUUUCUGCGGUCGGGAGGCUCCACCGUCCGGUGGUCGCGGCACCGAUUACGUCCGAUGCGUUGAGAGCAUCCUGGCCGUGCGAUAUGUACCCUUCAGCAGUGAGAUAUUUUGAAGGUCCGGUCGUGGACAAAAAGUGGAGGGGGACUCUAGGAAAGGUCUAGAUUCCUAAAUUUUAUUAUGUAAGAAAGGGAAAGUGAAGCACAGCCAGCGAGCGAGCGAGCGAUCGUUCGGGUUCCUUCUAAGUUAACGACCAUGAGUGGUGACAAAACAGUUGAGCUCCUUUUCCCACCUGCCAUCGGUGAACUUUCGAAAACUCAUAUACUCGCCUUUAGUUCCUUCAAUACUGGUAAAGAGUAGAGGAUAGAAUCAAUCCCACGAUGCCUCAUGACACGUAGGUUUGGUAUCAGGUAUGGUUUUUGGUCCGGCCCGAGCCUCUUCUUCCUCCGAAGCUAACCCAUGCUUAUCGACAAGGUCCAAGUGGAAUUUGCGUUUGGGACAAAGAGGCAUGGGGAGAGGUGUGGGUACUUGUGGCCCUUUUUCCCCAGUUGGCCGUUGCACCCCCCCUGGCUCGGCAAACCUCGUCAUCCACACACGAGGCAUCUCUGAUCAUUGUGUGACUCACUUCCUCAUCAGCACAAUGGAUCUAGGCUAUUUGUAGAUUCCUAGCGGUUCUCCACGUCAUUGUUAUACCGUCCUGGCUACCAGACUUCGGUCUUUAUGUCUAUUCAGCUGCCAGCUGGGAUCUUGGAGGGGUUCUCAUUUGCGGACGUGGACGAACCCCCUAACCCAUUCGCUUCUUGGCUUUCCUUCUGCUUUCUUGCUUGCGCUUAAUUUCCUUUGGGACCGCUCCAGUGCAGGACUCGUCGUCUGUUCGUUGGAGCGCGUCUGGAUGAGAACAUCCAUCCACUCUAGCUGUUCUUUUUUAUUUGACUUUCAAUAAGGAAACACUCAAUAACACCUAAAAUAACUGCAUUAUUCAAAUAAAAAAAUUACAAGCAAACUGGUUGACUUUGAAGUUGUUGUUUAUAUAUUCCUUUAGUUAUUUAUGAACUAGUUUCCUAUUUCAUGUUUUAUUUUUAGUUUUUUUUUAAUUUUUAAUAUAAUUUUUUAAAGUUUACAACAUAACCGAUGUGGUAGAACUUUUGUGUGUUACUUUUUACUGAACACUACAAUAAAAUAAACAUAUUUAUAAUCAUCAUAAAUUUUAAUGACAUUUCUCUUGUACCAAAACAUCUUACGUAGAAUACCAUGUUUGAAAUGAAUUUCCUGACGUCAAGUUUCUCCACUACCAUCACUACAAAUUGUGAUGCUCUCUUAAAAGUUUUGAACAUCACACUAGUUAGUUAUUCAAUGUUAACAAUUUAAAUUAAGUUAAAUACAAUCCAAGAUGUGUAAAACAAAUGUAGAAAUCACUCACAUCACUCAGAAUUUUCAUUUGGUAAUCUGGAUGUUGAUGUUUAUUCCUCACAGAGAUGGUGCAGUUUCAUUCCAUGUACCUCCACGACAGUUAUUUCAGUCAUUACUGAUUAGAUGUAUCAUCCAAGUGGAGACAAGCUCUCUAUGCAGGGUAUAGAUUCCAUAUAUGUACAAUACACCUACAUAAACGAGGGUCAUGGGAUCCUGGUGAUCGACAAAACACGUGGCAUGCGAUAUUCUUUUGGAGGUAAGACUACAUCGCUGCAUUUGGUCUCAUGAAAAGAGGCGGCGGAGGCCAAAUUGCAGCAGCACCGAAAUGUAGUUAUUCAGCACAGUUUUUGGACACCCAACGCCACCUAUCUCUAGGCACCUAAAAUCUAAACUCACCCCACACGAGGCAUUAUCCACGACAUCGGUAUAUAUUCGGAGGAAAUUUUGUCAUCACUUACUUUUAAAGUAGUUGAGGGUGUGGGGGGGGGGGAGGUUGGGCCGGGUCGGGUCGGGCGAGGAUGGAGACAGCAUCGGAUUCCUUGAAUGGCAGGGGAGUCCUAUGCAAGGCAUGAAUGCUGCUGCCAUGCUAUAUCUAUAUCUAGAUAACUUGCUGGACACUGAAUCUGGUGUGGGAGAUAUUUUUGUUAUUUGUUGUUGCUAUUAUUAUGAUUAUUAUGCUUAUCUUCCUUUACCCCAAUUGUACACAUUCAAGUGCUGACUGGUCUGAUGGAGGGUUUUGUCAUAACUCUGCCAGAGUGAGGGGGUGUACUUGUGUGUGCAGAGUACUUCGCGCUCAGGGGUCUUCGUCGUGGGCCUAGUCUAUGUACUCUUGAAGACUUCAACGGGAACUGUGGAGCUAGGGAGAGAGUGAAGGCGAUGUUUUGGAUUGUUGAAAUCAAAUAAUUUAUUUGUUGGUAUUUAAAUUUUCGGGAAUAUACAUAUAUAUAUAUAUAUAUAUAUACACAUAACUUGAGACGUGUAUAAAUGUAGGAUGUUGCUAAUGUCACCACAAUUUUGGCUACUACCAUCACAAUUUAUUGUUAAUAUGGUUUUAAUUAUUUUUUAAAUUUCAAUUAAUUUUAAUUUCUAUAUAAUAUCAAAAAAAAUAUUGGAGAUAUCAAAAAAAUUAUUAAAAUAAUAUUCAUUAAUUUUUUAUUUAUUUUUAGAUAGGUGGCAUGUUAUGAAUGUAAAAGCAAAAAUUGUGGUGGCAUUAGCGAUAUCUUAUGUAUGUAUGUAUUUGAAGAAAGAAUAAAAAUAUAUUAAAUUUUGGCCUUUAAAGAGUAUUUGAUAAAUAAUACAAAAAAACAAUAUAAUGUUUUUUAAAUACAUUUAAAGUAGUUUCUCAUGUAAUGCUUAAAAAAAUGACAUUCAAAAACUUCACCAAUGACAUGAUUUUGAGACUAGAUACAUACUAAAGAAUAGUAGCAAAGCUCAAAUCUAAAGCAUAAAAAUGCCACAAAAGUGUGUGUAUCUUUGCAAAAGUAGCUCAAAUUGCACUUCAUAAUCUUCUACAUAUCAUUUGUAUAAUGUAGAAUCUUCCAUUGGUUUAUUGAAAGGAAACAACUUUUUUCAUUUUUAUUUGAUUUUUUAUUUGAUUUUCCAAUAUAUUUUUGUAAUUUUAUUAUCAAUGGUACAACAUCUAUAACUACAUAUGCAAAGAGAGUCCAAGGCAUCUCCAACAAUAACAAUACAUUAUACAACUAAGAGAAGUCUACUAUCUAAGAUUCAAAUUUUAAUCUAGCAAUGGACAUGUUAGAAGAGCAAACUCUACUUAAUUCCUUUCAUCAUUAUCAAUAUAGUGACCACUCAUACCUUACUCAUUAGAUUGCAAGUUACUUACAAAGUUACUUUGGUUUAUUAAUUUAAAUUAUCCUUUCAAAGUGGAAAUAGACUAGGAACUUGUGCAAAAGAAAGUAAAAAAACUUUUAUGCAUUAUCAUUAUUGUUUGCUUUACAUAUAACAAAUAUAGAGAUAAUGGUCUUGAAGUAUGUUAAGUAUUUCUAAAAUAAAUAACCAAAGGCUUUGUAUAUAUAUAUAUAUAAAUAAAAAAAUAAAUAUAUUUAAAAAUAUUCUAAAAAGAGUAAUCUUGGUGGAUUUUAAUUUUAUUGUCUUAUAAUUUAAAGAUUAUUUUUGCACCUUUUAAUCCUAAAUUAUAACUUUAAUACUAUAAUUAUAUAAAAUCUCUUCCUAAAUAGAAUCAACGAAAACUUCAAAAGAAAUUGUUUCAAUUGUAUUAGACAUUUGCACCAAGUUUGAAAACAUUGUAGGUUUAAAAAGUAUAUAUUUUUGUAAAAUAAACCUUAUAUAUACUUUGUAGGAUUAUAAAUAAGAUAAAAUAUAGUGGAUUAGUAAAAAUAAUAUUAUAAGUAUCUUUAGGUAUAACUUUAGAAUAGCUUUAGCAAAAAUUAUUUAUAAAAACUAUAGAUUGAUACAUGGAGAAGAAUAAUUAUGAAUUUAGAUCAUAAUUAACUCUUAAGACACAAAAUUGCAUAUCUACAACAAUGAUAGGAUUUUUUUUAAUGAUUAAAAAAAUAAUUCAAGAAUAAACUUCAUAAGAUUGGAUAAACGUUAGAUUAGAGUGAUUUGGAUGGAUAUUGAAUUUGUAAGAGCUUUACAAAGUCAAGGUUAUUUUAGGUGAUUUGAAAUUUUGUGAAAUAAAAAAGGUUUAUAUUUGAGAUAAUUUUGUAAGCAUUCUAGCAGAUCAAUAAGUAAAAAUUUAUAGGAUUAAGAAUCUUUUUUAAAAUGUAUCAUUUUAUAAAUUUAAAAUUAAUUAAAAUUAUUUCAAGAAUGUUUAGUUUUUUUGUUUUUGACAAUAGACAUUCUAUUUUUAAUAUUAUACUAUCUUUGAAUAAAUAUCUAUUUUUUUAAGUGAUAUAAGAAGAUAUUGAUGUAUGGUUGUUUGUGAUUUUUGUCUUUGAUAUAGAAUUAUAUUAUAUCUUAUCUUUUCUUAAUAGAUGUAUUAAAAAAAAUGGUUUAUUAUAUUACUUAUGGGAUAAUAAAAGAAAAAAAUAAAGGUUUUUGUAAGACUGAACAAGUUUUAUUUAAGCUCCCAUUUUUUUCAUAAUAUUAAAUUUUAUAUUGCUAAACAAGAAAAAAUAGUAUAUUAUUUGAUCACCUUUAAGUUGAAUUUAUUUUUCAAUUGAAAAAUAUAAAUGUAAAUCAUCUAACUUCAAUAUGAUUAUUUAUUAGUAAAAAAAUCAUUGAAUCUUUCAACAUAUUAAUGAUAUAUGGUCUUGUUAUAAUAUUACAUAUUUUAAAUUUUUUCUUGUAAAAUUUUAUAUGUCUUUAUUUAAUAUUUUGUAAAAAAUAAAUAUUUUUGUAAAAAAAAUAAUACAUCAAAUUAUAAAAUCAAUUAAAAAAGCCCUACAUCUUUCUUCACACAUAUGUUUAAGAUAUGUUCAAAUAUUUUUCAAUCAAAUUAAAGAUUUGCAACUAGAAAGGAAGUCAAUACUUACUUAGAUUAAAUAGAGAAAGAUUGAAGAUAAUUCUAACAAAGAUUUCUAUGCAAAGAUUAAAAAUAAAUAUUCUAAAUGUAAUAUUAUUGCAUUCUAAUACUCCAAAAGUGAGCAACAUAGAGACCUUUGACACCAACAAAUAUUUGUUUCAAUUUUUUAUUUUAUUCUUUAUAAAAAACAAAUUAAAGGAUUUAGAAAAUUUAAAGAGAUUAUAACUAUUUUUUUUAAUAAUAUUACAUGAAAGGUCAAAAAAUAUGUAAACAAAUAUUUAUUAAAUCCAUUUAAUAUAUACAAUAAUGAUAUUUAAAAAAAGACAUGGCUAAAAGCAAAGCACCUUGAUUAGGGAGAAAUUGUUUAUUCUAAAUAAAGUAAGUAUUAAAAACUUUUAGACCUUCUGAUAUAAUAUUGAUAAUAAUUAUAUUUCUGAAAUUAACCAUAUUUUAUCUUAAGGCUAAUUCUAAUACAAUAUCUUCAAAGGUUUUUUCUUUUUCUUUUUCUUUUUUUCUUUUCUUUUUUGCACAAAAGAGAUUAUAAGACAAAGUUAGGUAAUUGAAGGCUAAUGACAUUAUCAAAAAAUUUCAAUAAAAUUUAUACUAAAGUAAUCUAGCCUUAGAUCUAAGCAAUUUUUAUAGAAAUUAUUCAUCCUAACUAAUUUCUAUUUCUUCCCUUGAGAUUUAUUUUAUAUAAUAUGUUACUUAUCUAAGAAAGCAUAAACUAAGCCAGGACUUCAAAAUAAGCUCUGCUUUUCUUAAAAAUUUAUUUUGCGAAGCCUAUGAUAAAGUCUCUUGCAAAUUGGUAUUUAUAGCCUUCAAAAAAAACAUCUUUGAUAAAUUUUCUUUUACUUACAUGAUUAAAAUUAGUGCUUAAGAUGCAAGCACAACAUCAAGUAUUAACAAGGUUUCUACAAAAGAAAAAAUCCAUUAAAUGAAGUGUGAGACAAAGUUGCCGUUUAGUACAUUACUUCUUCAUUUGAAUUGACAUAAUUCUAAAUAUUGCAGUUCAACAUAAUGUCAAAUAACAUUAUUUAUAAGACAUUUAUAUAUUUUGGAGUUCAAACCUACAAAUCAUCAGUCUAUAUGAUAAUGACUUAAUGUUUCCUUGAAUAUACAUGAAGUUGAUAAGUUUUUAAAGAAUAGAAUGAAUAUAGAAUUAGAAUAGUAGUGAUCUAUCAAAAUGAAUGUGGUUAGUUGAACCAUUAUUUAAAAUAUAUAUAUAUAUAUAUAUAUAUAUAUAUAUAUAUAUAUAUAUAUGAUUAUUUUUAGCCAUAUGGACUAAUUUUGUGAAGGUUGUUAAAGAAAUUAAAUUAUUGAUUAAUAUUUCUUUUGAUAAAAAAAACACUACUUCUUUAACUUUUUCUAAAGUUGCUUGAUUUAUUUGUCAUAAAAGUUGUGAAGAAAGAGGCUUCAGUAUCAUUGCUCCAAAUGAAGCUAUCAUAGCCUUUUUAUUUAAAUAUAUGUAAUUGACUCUUGAACUUGGCCAAAAAAAUAUUCAAUACUUUCUUAGACUUAAAUUAAUGAAAGUUAACCUACGGCUUAUGAAAAAUGGGUUCCAGAUAUGGUUUGGUCCUUUACUUCAAAUCACAAAUGGAAUUUAGGAUCUAAAAUAUAAAACAAUAUUGAAAAAGUGUAAAAUCAUAUGUAUGAGUUCUUUUGGCUCAACUAUUUUACGUCUUUUUGUAACCUAUAGAACUAUUUUCGAUAGUAGAAUCUUCAAUUUUUUUUAAUUGACAUUCACCUUAAAUUCCAUCAAGUUGUUUUCUUUCAUUCAAAUGAUCUUCAUUUUAUCAAAAAUCUCUUCAAAGAGCUUAUAAAUCCUCUUACUACUAAAAAAAAGAAUAUUUUCAUACUUUAUAGCUCUAUUUGAAUUUAUUUCUACUUGUAUAAUUUUAAUUAUUAAAAAAUAAUCUUCAGUAUGAUAAUUUUUUUAAAAACAAUCCAAUCAUAGGAUUAGACUAUACAAAUUGAAGUUUGCUCAUCUUCUUAAUGUUGUAUUUUAAUUUCCUUGAGAAUAUGUUGGAGAAGAAAAAAAUAAGUAUUUAUCCUAUCUAGAGAUUCAAAAUUAUUAUUCUUUUUAAAUAGGUAUUCAAUCAAAAAUUCUUCACUUUAAUACAAAACAUUUGCUUGACUAAGACUUUGAAGAGGAUGCAAAUCAAGUUGAAGGUUUUUUUUAAAUGGUGAGAGUUAUUACAAAAAUACAAUCAACAAGAAAACAUGCUUUUGAUGUUGGUUUCUUCUAUGGUCCACUAUUUGACCAUUGUUUUUGUAUCAUAUAUAUAAGUUAUUAGAAAAAAAUCCGUACAACAUUCUAUCUAAUCUGGUAAAAAUUCAAUUCAAAGUAAUAUAUCUUUGAAUAAUUUAAUACACACACACACACACAUAUAUAUAUAUAUAUAUAUAUAUAUAUUUAUUCUCCUAAGUCUUAUUGCUUGAUUAAAUAGUUACUUAGAAUCUAGCUCCUAUAAAGAAGCUAACUUUAUUUAACUUGUAUGGCACAAAGAUGUUUCAAAAAAUAUUUAUAGUAGCAUCAUGAUUCUUGAUACUAAUAUUUGGUCUACUAUGAAUCAACUCUAAAUACUUGAAUUUAUUCACCACUAGUUUGAUAUCAUUAUUAAGCUAUGAUUAUCAUAUUAAUAUUUUAAUAUAUUAUAAAGUAUAUAAAUAUAUAAAAAUAAGGAUGUUUAUUGAUUUAUCAUAUCAAUAUAAAUAAGGAUAUUUCCUGGUAUUUUUGUUUUGUUUAAUUUUUUAAUAUUUUAAAUCUUAUUUGAUGCAAAGACAUGUUGUGCUUCAUUCAUUAAUGGAAUAAAACAAAAAAAAAAUAAACUUCUUAACAUCAUAUAUUAGGAAGAAUAGCCAAAUGUACUAAAAACAUCGAACAACUAUCAAAGCCACCUUAUUAAUACUAUUACAUAUCAUCAAAUUACACUCAGAUAUUUUAGAGUUUCAUUUAAUUAAUUUUUUGCUUUAAAAACCAAAUGGCUCAUUAGUUAUGCAAGAAUUUUUUCAUCUCAUAAGUGAUAAAGAUUUAUAAAAUAUAUUAUUUAUACAUAUAGAAGAUAAAAACAUGUACAAAUCAAUAAAAAAAACUAAUACAAAAUUACAUUUCUUCUAUACAACAAAACUAAUAAGACAAAAAUAAAUUAAAAAAAAAAUUUUGAAAGCAAAAAUGUUUAGGUUUCAUAAUUUUGUUUUAUUCAAAAUUAGAUAUAUUUGAUCUUAAUUUAGCUUUUAUAAUUACAAAGAUAUAUUUAAUUAAUAUAAAAUUUUAAUAAAAUAGCCUCUUUUCUAUUUUUUUCUAUUAUUUAUUUUAUUUUUUUAAGAUACAUAAUAUAUAUAUAAAUUCUUUUGUAGCUAAAGUUUUUUAGCAACAUGAUGUAUAUAUUAUAAUUUUUUCUAUAAUUUAUCAUAUAUCACAUAAUAUAUAUAUUUUAUAAUUUUAAAUUUUGAUUUAAAAUAUUAAAUUAAUGCAUUUUUAUUAUCCAUAGCACAUAUAUUAAAUCUUAGUAUAUUAAAAAUUAAAUAAUAUACAAUAAAAAUUUUAAAAUUAGAUUUUUUUUUUAUAUUGAGUAUUUAUGUGAAAAAUAAGUAGAGUUUUUAAACUAACAUUCUAAAAUAUUUUAAUAUUAAUUUUUAAUAUUAUUUAAUCAUUUUUAGUUUUUUUGUCAAUUGAAUAUUAAUUUUUGAGGAUGGAUUAAAAAAUAUUUCUUGAUUUAAAGUAUUUUUGAUACCAAAAAUUAUUAUAAAAUUGAAUAUGUGUCAAGUUUUUUAGAUAAAAGGUAUUUACUUAAUAGUUUAUAAAAUAUUUUAGAAUAGUAAUAUUAUAAGUUGGAAGGAAUUAAUAAAUUUAAUAAAAGCACUCACUUAGAAUUAAGAGGAUUUUGAGUGUAUGUAUAUUUGAAUGGAAAUAUUAUACAUUGAAAGUAUUUUAUACAUUUGUAAUAAAAAAAUAUAAAAAAAUUUAUGGAUAUACAUAUAAUGAUUUCAAAUCUCAGUUAAACCAUAUAACAAAAGAUAAAAUAGAAUAAAAAUCCUAAUUAUAAAAUAAUAAAUAUAUAAAUUUAAUAUCACAUUUAUAAUUUCUUAUAAUAAAAAAUCAAAUAGAUAAUUAUGUUCUUAAGUUUUGUUUCAUAUUAAGAAUACAUUCAAAUUAUUCUAAAAUAAAAAUUCAAAGUGUACAAUGUAACAAAAUAAAAUUAAAAACAUCAUGUCAAAAAUUACAUCAUCUAUUUGAUAUAUGCUUAUUUUAUAUAUUUAAAUUAAAAAUUAAAAAAAUAAUUUUUAAUUCAAGAAAAUUUUAAAAUAUUUAUUUUGAUUUAAAAUUAUAUUUGAGAUAUAAAAAAAUUAAUAUUUUGCUUUAUUAAAUAUUUUAAUAAUUAUUAAACCAAAUUUAAUUGGUUUAUUUUUUUUGAUUGAAGAUAAAUUUUUUGAUCGAAUACAUAUAAAUAUUUUGGUGUUAUAAUUUUGUAUCUUUUAUUAUGAUGUUACAUAUAUAAAUAUGUUGGAUGUAUUAAUAUACAUCAUCAUUACUUUUUGCAAAUAUAUCAUUUAUUAUGAAAAAGAAAAUAUGGAUGAAUUUUAUUUCGAUAAAUUUGCAAAAGGAAAUAUUAGUAGAAAUAUUUUCAAGAUAUGUAGAUACUAUAAAGUAAGAUUACAAAGUUUUUUAAUACUGAAUUAAAUUAUUAUUAGAACAAGACCCAAAAUCUUUAAAAAUCUUUUAGCUAAGAUGGAUGGAAUAAAAUAAUUGAUAAUUUUUACUAACAAAUAAGACAAUAAAAAGGAUUUCUAUAGUCCAAGAUAAAUCAUCUUAAAUAUCUUUUGAAUCUAUACUCAUAUCAUAAGCUUUAUGCUAGGACAAUACUUCUUGAUAUCAUAAAACACAUCACUAUUUCUUUCAAAAACUUAAAGAAGUUCUUGAGGCUUUUCAAAUAUACUAACAUUGUUAAGAUAAUAAAGUCAUGCUUCUUAAUAUAAAUAAUUAAACCAAAAUAUAGAAAAAACUAUUAGAGUCAUAAAUUCUUUCUCCUUAAAAUAUUUCAAAAGAAGCAUGUAGUAUCAAAUAAAAGAAUAUAUAUUAAUAUUAAUAGCAAUAUUAUUAAUAUAUAUAAUAUUAAUAUAUUUUCAAAAAAAUAUAAAAUAUAUACUACUAAUAUUGAUGAAUUAUUAUUUAUAUUUAGAAUAUUUUUAAAAUACUUUUUUGUAUAAAUAAAGAUCAUUACACACAACAUAUCAAGUGCCACCAACCAAUUAUAAAGUAUGUAAUUCUAAACAAAUACAAAUACACACCUAAUACAAUGUCAAAAAAAGAUUAGAAAUCUAUUCCAAACUAAGUGAAGUUAUCUCUUAUACCACAAAGUAGGAAAUCUAAGAAUACAAGUGUGAAAAUAAGAGAAAUCUUAAAGCUUUAUUAAAAUGGCUAAAACACCAUAGGUAAGAAAACCCUUAUAACAAGUUCUCUCACUCUCAAAAUGACUCAUAAGACUUGACUUGACAAGAGUGUCAAGUCAAGGAUUUUUUUUUUACUUAAGUACUCAAAUCUUAAUUGAUAUGAAUAAGUCAACUCACAAAAAAACUAUCAAUGGAUGAAAAACCACUAAUUAAACUAAAUUACAUACAUCUAACAAGAUUUGGUACCUAUUAUCAUAUCACAUCAUAGUUUUCAUGUAAACAAAGAUUGUUACAUACAAUACAUCAAGUGCCAGCAACCAAUCAUAAAAUAUGUAAUUCAAAACAAAUACAAAUGUACAUCCAACAUACUCUCAAGUAUCUCCCUUCGUUGAUUAAUAGCCCUUCCAUUCAACUAGGACCAUCAAUAUACAUUGUUGAAGACAAACGUUAUUAUGAUGUAAAUGCUGAACUACACUCUUCUAAGCUUAGUAUUAUAACAACUAGAUCACUGAAGUGUGUGACACAUACAAUAGAAGAAAUCUUUAAUCCUUAUUAAAAGAUGAAGCAUGGUUAGAAGGCUUAUGUCACAAACAUACCCAUGUAAGCCAAUAAUUACUUGUAUAAAUAGAUAGAAGUAAGUAAAAGUAGUUAAAAAUAAGUUAAUUCUAUAAAUUUUUCUAUAGAAUCUUUAUAGAUAGUACUUUGACUUUAUAAGUGUCUAUAAUUGACUGUUUAAGUUAAAAAAGUCGUCAACCAGUUCGCCAUGUGCCACACAUGUUAUUAGCUUGAAGACCAAGCUAGCUAUAUAGCCCACAUAUAGAAAAACUUGCCUUGGAAGUCAAGGCAUGUGUCCUACAAAGUCAACACAUAUUAGAGGUCCUAUAGAACAUCACCAUGUAGUUCCUAGUUAGAUAGUAUAUUUAGAGACAAAAGUGAAGCCUUCUUCACUCUUGUCAACUCUUUUCUUGCUUCUAGUCUAGUUUAAAGAGUCUCAAAGAAAUAAAGACAAGUUUAAUAGAAAUAAAGACAAUCGAUCUAUAACGUUAUAUACUUUAUACUUUCAAAAACUUGCAAUUGAUAUUAAGUGGGAUGAUAUUGUACUUAUUAGCCAAUUUCUCUAUAGAUUACAAUAUAAAGUAAAGAAAUUGAUAUUCAACUUAUUUGAUCUUCAAACAUUGGGUCAAGCAAUUGACUUUGCUAUGAAAUGCAACAAUCAAUUUUUUGAAUUUCGAUCUGAAAGUCGCACAAAUGAGCCUCAACGUUACUAUAAUUUAAUGGAAAUACCAAUAUCUUUUCAACACAUACAUUCAAAAGGAGAGGAUGAAAAAAUUGAUGCGAUACAUUUUAAACCUCUUAUCGAGGAAGAAAAGACUCAUUGUCAUCAAGAAGGAUUAUGCUUAUAUUAUGGAAAACCUAAACAUACUCAUCAAUAUUUUCCAAAGAAGGAUCAAAAUCACAAUAUGAGAAGCACAUCUAUCAAAGAAGACAAUGUCUUAAAAAAUGAAGUCGUCCAACUAGAAUAGGGAUCAUGUACUUGGAAUCUUAUAUAAUUUUUAAUAAAGGUCAUGUCUUCUCCUUGAAACCCUCUCCUUGUUUUAUAAUAGAUGUACAUUUAAGACCUAAUAAUUAUAAAGUCUUUGCCUUGAUAGAUUUAGAAGCCUCAACUUAUUUCUUAGAUGUAGAAUUUGUUAAAAGUCAUAAAGUACUAUUUAUAUAAAAAACCAAACCUGCAAAAGUCAUAGAUGAUUGUCCAUUGUCUUUUGGAGAUGUUCUUCAUGAAACUUUUCCUAUAGAUGUAGCAAUAAAUGAUCAUAGUAGUUCCAUAAUCUUUAAUAUAAUUAGAUCUUCCUAGUAUCCCAUCAUUUUAGGUUUAUCAUGGUUAGAAAAGUAUAAUCUUUUCAUAGAUUGGAUUUUUUGUACCUUUGAUUUCUUUAAAAGUAUAAUUAAGAGUGAAAUGAAUCCAAUAGAAAGUCAUAAGCCUAGUACAAUUAAACCUAUAUUUGUAGGUGCAAGAGCUUUCUUGUAUGUUGCAAAAGAAAGAUCACCUUAUGUCAAUUAUGCCACACGUGUUUCUAAUGAUGCAAAGACUUCAAAUAGCAUUUCCAGCUAAUAUCAAGAGAUUCAAGAUAUAUUUGAAAAGAAGAAUGCAAAUACUCUUCUAGAACAUUGUGCUUAUGACUACUCAAUUAACCUUUAAGAAGGAGCACAACUACCAUUUGGAUCAAUCUAUAGUUUUUUACAAAAUGAAUUGAUUAAACUCAAGGAAUAUAUUCAAGAAAAUUUGGCAAAGAAUUUCAUACAUCAUUCCAAAUCACCAACAAGAGCUCCAAUCUUAUUUGAAAAGAAGAAAGAUAGAUCAUUGCAAAUGUAUGUUGAUUAUUGAGGAUCCAAUAAGAUCACCAUUAAGAAUAAAUACCCUCUACCUUUAAUAUUUAGACUUCUUCAUCAAUUGAAUCAAGCUAAGAUCUACACAAAAAUAGAUCUAUGGGGAGCAUAAAAUCUAGUAUAUAACAAAGAAGGAGAUGAAUAGAAGACUACGUUUUGAACUAGAUAUAGACAUUUUGAAUACAACGUCAUGCCUUUUGGACUUACAAAUAUAUCGACAGUUUUUCAACAUCUAAUGAAUGAUGUUUUUUGAGAGUUUUAAGACAAUUUUGUUGUUUGUUAUUUGGACGACAUCUUUAUCUAUUCUAAGAAUACAUAUGAACAUAAAUUACAUAUUUGUCAUGUGUUACAAAAAUUAAGAGAUGUGAGAUUCUAUGCUAAGAUAGAAAAAAGUAUAUUCUACAUUACUCAAGUCGACUUUUUAAGAUACAUCAUUUCAAAUGAUGGACUUAUGAUGGAUCCUGAGAAAGUUCAAACAAUUAUGGAUUAAAAGAUUCUAAAAAUAAUAAAAAAUAUCCAAUGCUUUUUGGACUUUGUCAACUAUUAUUGGAUCUUCAUCAAAGACUACUCUGAAGUUGAAGCUCUACCUACACGUUUGACUUGCAAAGACAAACUUCAGUGGAGUAAAGAAGUUGAAGCAUCUUUUGAAACUUUGAAGUCAACUUUAAUUUUUGAACAUAUCUUGUAUUGCAUCAACUUUUUUAAGGCAUUUUUUAUGAAAACAAAUGCAUCAAAUUUUACUUUGGAUAUCGUAUUAUCAUAAAUGGAAACAUAUAAUAAACUUUGCCCAUUAGCUUUUCAUUCUAGAAAAUUUUCAACAGCCGAGAUUAAUUAUGAAAUCUAUGACAAAGAACUUCUUGGAAUCGUGGAUUCAUUUCAAGAAUGGCAUCAUCAUCUAGAAGGGGCUUUAAAUCCAAUCAUCGUAUAUACAAAUCAUAAGAAUCUUGAGUAUAUCAUAUCAACAUAUGUUUUAAAUUGUAGCCAAGCCCGUUGGAGCAUGUUUUUAUCAAGAUUUGAUUUCAAGAUCACAUAUCAACUUGGAAAACAACAAGGUUUGUUAGUCGCCCUUUCUAGACAUUCUUAUCUUGCACCAAAAGAAAGAGAUGCAUUUUUUGAUUAGCAAAGAAUAAUUUUCUUGAAGCCAAAGUAUUUUUAUCUUCAAGUAAUGAAAUCAAUAUUGAUUGUUGAUUAGACUCUUGUGAAACAAAUCCAAUCAAGUACAUCUUUUGAUUCUCUUGUUCAUAAUAUCAAGAAUCCUUCUUCUAAGUUCCAACAUACUUUUAAAUUUGAAUUCAAAGAAAACCUAUUCUAUUUUUAAAAUUGAUUAUAUGUUCAAAAAAGAGAAGCAUGAUUAUGUAUUCUUCAAGCACAUCACGACUUUCCAAUAAAAGGACAUUUUUGAUACAACAAGACUUAAAACUUAUAUCUAGAGAUUUUUAGUGAUCUCAAAUGUAGAAGGGUGUGAAAGACUUUGCUAAAAUAUGCGACAUUUGUUCAAGAUCAAAAACUCCUCUUCAUCGACAUUACGGACUUCUUCAACCAUUACCUAUUCCAGAACAACCAUAGCCUUAUGUUUCUAUGCAUUUCAUCACAGAUCUUUUAAUCUCAGGUUCUUAUGAUACUAUAUUCGUGAUAGUAGAUCAUUUUAUCAAGAUGACAUAUUUUGUAUUAUGUACAAAAUCUAUCAGAAGUGAAGAAAUAGCUAAAUUCUUUCUUAAAAAUAUCUAUCAUUAUCAUAGAUUAUCCAAGGAUAUUAUAUCUGAUAGGAGAACUCAGUUUGUAUCAAGAUUUUUGGUGGACUCUUUUCAAGAUUCUAAAAGUGGAUAUAAAACUAUCUUCAGUAUUACAUCCUCAAAUUAAUGGACAAACAGAGCACAUUAAUCAAGUUUUGGAACAGUAUUUAAGAUGUAUCAUCAACUACCAACAAGAUGAUUGGAUAAUUCUUUUGCCAUCCGCAGAGUUUGUUUAUAAUAAUAUGAUACAUUCUUCUUCAAAACAAACACCUUUCUUUGCCAAUUAUGAUUAUCAUCCAUGACUUCAUAUUUUUUACUUUUCAAAAGUUGAUAAUCGUAUGGCAAAAGAUUUAGCAAAUCAUUUGUCACAGCUACAUGCAACAAUGAAGGCACAAUUAAAAGAAGCUCAAGAAUAAUAAAAGAUCAGUGCAGAUGUCUAUCAAAAGGAACAACCACCAUUUCACCUAGGUGACAAAGUAAGGUUACUUUGUCGCAAUAUCAAGACCAAUCAUCCUUAUGAUAAGUUGAACUAUUGUAAGCUUGGACCAUUUGCUAUUUCUACACAAAUCAAUCCAAUUGUAUAUUAUUUACACCUACUAGAGUCAAUAAAAAUCCAUCUAAUAUUCUUUGUGUCUCUUUUUGAACUAUACAAGACAAUAGACAUACUAAAAAAAAGACUAGCUCCACCUUUUCUUAUAGAAGUAGACAAUUAUGAAGAAUUUAAAGUAGAAGAAGUCCUAGAUUCAAGGCGGUACCAAAAUAAAUUAGAAUAUCUUAUUGUCAAGGACAAGAACUCGAUGAAAAAUCAAUUCAGACAAGUGAGCUUUCACUCAAAGAAAGGUAACAAAAUAUAAAUAAAUAAGUAUGUAUAUGUCACGGCCAUAAUCAUGUAAGCUAAUAAUUACAUAUAGAAAUAGGUAGAAGUAAGUAAAAGUAGAUAAAAGUAAGUUAAUUCUAUAAUAUUUAAUAUAGAAGCUUCCUAGAAACUUCUUAGACGCUGCUUUGACUUCAUAGGUGUCUUUAAUUGACUUUUUGGAUUAGAAACGUGGUCAACAAGUUGGCCAUGUGCCACACAUGUUGUUAGCUUGAAGAUCAAGCUAACUAUGUGGCCCACACGUAGAAAAACUUGUCUUGUAAGUCAAGGCAUGUGUCCUACAAAGUCAACACAUAUUGGAGGUCCUAUAGAACGUCGCCACGUAGCCCCUAGUUAGAUAGUAUAUAUAGAGACAAGAGUGAAGGCUUCUUCACUCUUGUCAACUCCUUUCUUGCUUCUAGUCUAGUUUCAAGGGUCUCUAGUUUUCUUGUCUUUUGGCAAUAGCCAUUCCAGUUUCUCUUUCAAUAUAUAUAUUUGUUUAUUUACCUCUCUUUGAGUGAAGGCUCACUUGUCUGAAUUAUUUUUCAUCGAGUUCUUGUCCUUGACAGAUUGACAAGAGUAUACUUACAAUAUCAGAGCUUUAUUUUCUCUUGAGUAAGAGUGGAUUACCCCUUUCUCUUGACAAGACAUAAGCAUAUUAGAAGUUUGCGGAUUAUCCACUUCUAAACUGGUAUUGUUCUUAGUAUCUUCUUUGUUAUCAAGUCUUUCUUUUCUUUUGUCUUAAGCAGUAUUAAACAAAUUUUUCUUCUUAGUAUCAUUAUGGCAGAGCUUGUUGAAAUGAAGAGUGCAAUGGCACAAAUGCAAGAGCAAAUGAGGGAGUUAAUGCUUGCAAUGCAUCAACUCAAUUCACCAACACAAGAAAGAACAAGAAUAGCAGAAAGUGGGGAUAUAGAGAUGAUCGGAGCUGCUUCAACAUCUGCAACAAAUCAUGUUCCUUCUCCAAUUGUACAACACCCUGUAAGCACUAGAGAACCAAGAAUUGCCUUACCCGAGAAGUUUGAUGAUACGAGAUCAAAGUUUCGAGGAUUCAUCAAUCAAGUACAAUUGGCAAUUGAACUUCAACCGCAAAGCUAUCCAACUCUAGGAUCACAAGUCAGGUUUAUUGGCACUCUACUUUUUGGUUCUGCAUUAUCGUGGUUUUCGUCUUUUCUUGAACAACGAAAUCCAAUAUUAGAAAAUUUGAAAGUUUUUUUGGCAGAGUUUCGAUCUAUGUAUGGUGAACACGAUGCAACUCGUGUUGCAACAAAUAAGAUCCGAAUUCUGCGACAAGGAAAUCGCUCAGUAACAGUGUAUGCUUCACAAUUUCGACAACUUGCAAUUGACAUCAAGUGGGAUGAUGCUGCACUCAUCAGUCAAUUUCUUUAUGGAUUGCAAUACGAAGUAAAGAAAUUGAUGCUCAACUUACCUGAUCCUCAAACUUUGAGUCAAGCAAUCGAUUUUGCGGUAAAAUGUGAUAAUCAACUUUUCGAAUUUCGAUCUGAGAAUCAUUCACGGGAACCUCAACGUUAUUACUCAAUGGCAACAUCAACAUCUCUGCCAAACAUACAUUCGGAAGUAGAAGACAUGCAAAUUGACGCGGUACGUUUUAAACCCCUAACUGAGCAAGAAAAGAUUCGUCGUCGUCAAGAAGGAUUAUGUUUAUAUUGCAGAGAACCUAAGCACACUACUCAACAUUGUCCAAAGAAGCGACAUAACUAUAAAAUGAGGGGUACGACGGUCAAAGAAAACAACAUGUCGAAAAACGGAUUCGUCCAGCUACAAUAGGGACCAUGCAGCUGGAACCUUGUACAAUUCCUAAUGAAGGUCCUAUCCUCUCCUCAGAACCCUCUCCUUGUUUUAUAAUAGACUUAUAUUUAGGACCUAAGAAUUACAAAGCCUCUGCUUUAUUAGAUUCGGGAGCCUCAGCAUGUUUUUUAGAUGAAUAAUUUGUUAAGAGUCAUAAAAUACCUUUUGUACAGAAACCUAAACCAGUACAUGUAGAAGUCAUAGAUGGUCGUCCCUUGUCUUCUGGAGAUGUCACUCAUGAAACUCAUCCUAUAAAAGUAACAAUAGACGGUCAUGAUAGCUACAUAGCUUUUAACAUAAUUAAAUCCCCGUCCAAUCAAAUUAUUUUAGGUUUAUCCUGGCUAGAAAAAUAUAACCCUCGAAUAGAUUGGAAUUCGCAUAAACUUGACUUUUUCCAGAGUAUUAUUAAUAGUUCUACCAACCAAGUAUAAAAAUUAUAAGUCUAGUAUAGUAAAACCCGUACUGAUAGGUGCAAAAGCAUUUAUACACGCAGCAAAAGAAGGAUCAAUUUUUGCUAUUUAUGCUGCACCUAUUUCUGAAAACGUAAAGACUUCAAGUGGCAUUCCAAGUCAAUAUUAGGAGUAUCAAGACAUUUUUGAGAAAAAGAAUGCAGAUAUUCUUCCUGAGCAUCGCCCAUAUGAUUGUUCAAUCGACCUCAAGGAAGGAACUCAGCCACCAUUUAGACCAAUUUACAAUUUAUCGCAAGAUGAGAUGGCUGAACUCAAGACAUAUAUUGACGAGAAUUUAGCGAAGAAUUUCAUAUGCCAUUCAAAAUCUCCAGCAGGAGCUCCAAUUCUAUUCGUAAAGAAAAAAGAUGGAUCUUUACGAAUGUGUGUUGAUUAUCGAGGACUCAACAAGAUCACAAUCAAGAAUAGGUAUCAAUUACCUUUGAUAUCAGGACUCCUUGACCAGUUGAAUCAAGCUAAGAUCUAUACAAAAAUAGAUCUAAGAGGAGCAUAUAAUCUAGUACGGAUCAAAGAAGGAGAUGAAUGGAAGACUGCGUUUUGAACCAGGUAUGGACAUUUCGAAUAUAAUGUCAUGCCCUUUGGACUCACGAAUGCACCAGCUGCUUUUCAACAUCUCAUGAAUGAUAUAUUUCGUGAAUUCUUAGACAAUUUUGUCGUCUGCUAUCUAGACGAUAUCCUGAUCUAAUCUAAGAACGUCGAAGAACAUGAAAUACAUGUUCGUCAAGUAUUACAAAAACUUAGAGAUGCAGGAUUAUACGCCAAGAUGGAAAAGUGUGUAUUUCACACUACUCAAGUUGACUUUUUAGGAUACAUCAUUUCAAAUGAUGGUCUCAUGAUGGAUUCUAAGAAAGUCCAAACAAUCAUGGAUUGGAAGAUUCCAAGGACAGUAAGAGAUGUCCAAUGUUUCUUGGGAUUUGUCAAUUACUAUCGGAUCUUCAUCAAAGAUUUCUCACAAGUUGCAGCUCUACUUACACGCUUGACUAGUAAAGAUAAAUUCCAAUGGAAUCAAGAAGCGGAAGCAGCAUUUGAAGCCUUAAAGACAUCGUUUGUCUCUGCACCAGUCUUAUAUCGUGUUGACUUUUCCAAGGCAUUUUUUAUGGAAACAGAUGCAUCAGAUUUUGCCUUGGGUGCAGUUUUAUCACAAAUGGGAUUAGAUGACAAACUUCAUCCGAUAGCUUUUCAUUCAAGAAAAUUCUCAGCAGCCGAGAUCAAUUAUGAGAUCCACGAUAAAGAACUUCUUGCGAUCGUGGAUUCUUUUCAAGAAUGGCGUCAUUAUCUAGAAGGCGCUUCUAGUCUAGUCAUUGUGUAUACAGAUCACAAAAACCUCGAGUAUUUCAUGUCAGCACGCGUAUUGAAUCGUCGUCAAGCUUGUUGGAGUAUGUCUUUGUCAAGAUUUGAGUUCAUUAUCACUUAUCGGCUAGGAAAACAACAAGGUUUGUCCGAUGCCCUAUCUAGACGUUCUUAUUUUGUACCAAAAGAAGGAGAUGCAGCUUUUGAGCAACAAAGAACGGUCCUCUUGAAACCGGAGCAAUUUCAUCUCCAAGCAAUGAAAUCAACAUUGACUGUUGAUUCAACUUUUCUCAAGCAAAUCCAGUCCAGUAUGUCCUCACACCUUCUUGUUCAUGAUAUCGAGAAUAAUUCUUCCAAGUCUCAUGAUCCUUCUAAGUUCGAGUUCAAGAAUAAUCUAUUAUAUUUUAAAGGAUGCCUAUAUGUUCCAGAAGGAGAAGCACGUUUACGUGUUCUUCAAGCACGUCAUGACUUUCCAACAGCAGGGCACUUUGGAUAUAAUAAGACUUUGGAACUCAUAUCAAGAGAUUUUUGGUGGCCACAAAUGUGAAAGUCAGUCAAAGACUUUAUACAAUCAUGUGAUAUUUGUUCAAGAUCAAAAAUUCCUCGUCAUCGACCUUACGGACUUCUUCAGCCAUUACCUAUACCAGAACAACGAUGGUCUUCUGUUUCUAUGGAUUUCAUCACAGAUCUUCCAAGCUCAAGAUCUUAUGAUUCUAUAUUUGUGAUAGUAGAUCGUUUCACCAAGAUGGCACAUUUUGUGCCAUGUACAAAAUCUAUCACAGGUGAAGAAAUAGCUAAGCUUUUCAUUGAUAAUAUCUAUCGCUAUUAUGGAUUACCUAAAGAUAUCAUAUCAGAUAGGGGAACUCAAUCUGUGUCAAGAUUUUGGAGGACCUUUUUCAAGAUUUUAAAAGUCAACAUAAAGCUAUCUUCGGCUUUCCAUCCUCAAACUGAUAGACAAACAGAGCGCGUAAACCAAGUCUUGGAGCAAUAUUUAAGGUGUACUAUCAACUACCAACAAGAUGAUUGGACAACCCUUCUGCCAUUGGCAAGGUUUGCUUAUAAUAAUACGGUACAUUCUUCCACGCAACAAACACCUUUCUUUGCCAAUUAUGGCUAUCAUCCACGACUCGAUACUUUUGAUUUUUCAAAAGUUGAUAAUCCUGCAGCAGAAGAUAUGGGAAAUCGGUUGUCAGAGUUACAUGCAAUAAUGAAGACGCAAUUGAAAGAAGCUCAAGAACGACAAAAGAUAAAUGCAGAUCUAUAUCGUAAGGAGCAACCACAACUCAACGUGGGUGAUAAGGUAUGGCUACUUCGUCGCAAUAUCAAGACUACUUGACCUUGUGACAAGUUGGACUAUCGUAGGCUUGGCCCCUUUUCUGUUUCUGAACAGAUCAACCUUGUUGCAUAUCGGUUACAUCUACCGGAGUCAAUGAAGAUCCAUCUUGUAUUCCACGUGUCUCUUCUUGAACCAUAUAAGACAGUGGAUAUACAAGGAAGAAGACAAAUGCCACCGCCUCCUAUAGAAGUAGAUAAUAAUGAAGAAUUUGAGGUGGAAGAGAUAUUAGACUCAAGGCGGCGCCAAAAUAAGCUGAAAUAUCUUGUUCAUUGGCGCGGAUAUGAUAUUAGUGAAUGCACAUAGGAGCCAUCUAGGAAUCUAGCAAAUGCAUCAGCUAAAGUUAAAGUUUUCCAUCAACGACAUCCAUCAAAACCAAGAUGAAAAUCUCUCUUAUAAAAGAGACAAGAUUGAGGCAAGAUAACAUUCAAUUUCCUAUCCUUGUUUGUAACUUCUUUGCAUUUGUGAUGCUAAUUAGAUGGAGAGCCAACAACCAGCGGAUUCAACUCAAGAACCUUCGUUUGCUGACCUGCUGGACGAGACAUUACGAUUGUCACAACCUUCAAGACGACGCAAUCGAGAUGAAGAUCUUCAAGAACGACAUGUUCUUCCUCGAAUAGAUUGUGAGAUACAACGCGUUUGGUAUCACGAUUUGGGAAGGCACUCCCGAUGUUUGGUGAUUUUGCUAGAGGUAGGAACAACUCCUGAUGGUGUUCCAAAUAUUCUAUUCGAAGGAAGUUAUGAAGGCCUCAACAAUGAUCAAAUAACUGGGUAGUCUUCCUGCCCUAGUAUGGGACACUACCGAUGGAUGAGAGGCCCUAUCAAUCAUCUUCGAAGAGAACAGAGAUCAGAGUAUGUGGCGAAUACAAUUCGUCGCAUCAUAGAUUUCCUCAACAUAUGAUGACUGCUCCUCGUGGAACUCGUCUCUAGAAGGGGGGGGUAAUGUCACGGCCAUAAUCAUGUAAGCUAAUAAUUACAUAUAGAAAUAUGUAGAAGUAAGUAAAAGUAGAUAAAAGUAAGUUAAUUCUAUAAUAUUUAAUAUAGAAGCUUCCUAGAAACUUCUUAGACGCUGCUUUGACUUCAUAGGUGUCUUUAAUUGACUUUUUGGAUUAGAAACGUGGUCAACAAGUUGGCCAUGUGCCACACAUGUUGUUAGCUUGAAGAUCAAGCUAACUAUGUGGCCCACACGUAGAAAAACUUGUCUUGUAAGUCAAGGCAUGUGUCCUACAAAGUCAACACAUAUUGGAGGUCCUAUAGAACGUCGCCACGUAGCCCCUAGUUAGAUAGUAUAUAUAGAGACAAGAGUGAAGCCUUCUUCACUCUUCUCAACUCCUUUCUUGCUUCUAGUCUAGUUUCAAGGGUCUCUAGUUUUCUUGUCUUUUGGCAAUAGCCAUUCCAGUUUCUCUUUCAAUAUAUAUAUUUGUUUAUUUACCUCUCUUUGAGUGAAGGCUCACUUGUCUGAAUUAUUUUUCAUCGAGUUCUUGUCCUUCACAGUAUAUUGAAAGAGAAACUAAAAUGGCUAUUACUAAAUGACAAGAAAACUACAGACCUUUGAAACUAGACUAGAAGCAAGAAAGGAGUUGAGAAGAGUGAAGAAGGCUUCACUCUUGUCUCUAUAUAUACUAUCUAACUAGGGGCUACAUGGCGACGUUCUAUAGGACCUCCAAUAUGUGUUGACUUUGUAGGACACAUGCCUUGGCUUACAAGGCAAGUUUUUCUACGUGUGGGUCACAUAAUUAGCUUGAUCUUCAAGCUAACAACAUGUAUGGCACGUGGCCAACUUGUUAACCACGUUUCUAAUCCAAAAAAUCAAUUAAAGAUACCUAUGAAGUCAAAGUUGCAUCUAUGAAGCUUCUAGGAAGCUUUCAUAUUAAAUACUAUAUAUUUAACUUACUUUUACCUAAUUUUACUUACUUCUAUCUAUUUGUAUAUGUAAUUACUAGCUUAUAUGAGUAUGUCUGUGAGUAUGUCCGUGAUAUUACCCCCCUUCUAGGGACGAGUUCCACGAAGAGCGGUCAUCAUAUGUUGAGGAAAUCUAUGAUGUGACGAAUUGUAUUCGCCACAUACUCUAAUCUUUGUUCUCUUUGAAGAUGAUUGAUAGGGCCUCUCAACCAUCGGUAGUGUCCCAUACCAGGGCGGGAAGACCACCCAGUUAUUUGAGCAUUAUUUAGGCCUUCAUAACUUCCUUCGAAUGAAACAUUUGGAACACCAUGAGGAGUUGUUUCUACCUCUAGUAAAAUCACCAAACAUCAGGAGUCCCUUCCCAAAUUGUGAUACCAAACGAGUUGUAUCUCACCAUCUAUUUUAGGAAGAACAUGUCGUUCUUGAAGAUCUUUAUCUCAAUUGCGUCAACUUGAAGGUUGUGACAAUCGUAAUGUCUCAUCCAGCAAGUCAGCAAAUGAAGACUCUUGAGUCGAAUCCACUGGUUGUUGGUUCUCCAUCUCUUGAACGUCACAACUAUAAAGAAGCUACGAACAAGGAUUGAAAGUAGAAUGUUAUCUUGCCUAGAUGUUGUUUCUUUUAUAAAAAAAAUUUUCAUCUUGAUUUUGAUGGAUGCCAUCGAAGAAAAGCCUCCACUGCCUUUGCUGCAUUUACAAGAUUCUUUAUUAGCUCUCAUGUGCAUUCACUAAUACCAUAUCCGUGCCAAUGGAUAAGAUAUUCUAAUUUAUUUCGAUGCCGCCUUGAAUCUAAGACUUCUUCUAUUUCAAACUCUUCAUUAUUGUCCACUUCUAUAGGAGGAGGUAGAGCUUGUCGUCUUCUUGGUAUGUCCACUAUCUUAUAUGGUUUAAGAAGAGACACAUGGAAUAUUGGAUGGAUUUUCAUUGACUCCGGUAGAUGUAAAUAUUAUGCAACUGGAUUGAUUUGUAUAGAAAUAGAAAGUGGUCCCAGCCUUCGAUAGUCCAACUUGUCACAAGGACGAGUGGUCUUGAUAUUGCAAUGAAUUAGCCAUACUUUAUCACCCAAGAGGAAUGGUGGUUGUUCCUUUUGAUAGACAUCCGCAUUGACCUUUUGUUGUUCUUGAGUCUCUUUUAACUACAGCUUCAUCGUUGCAUGUAGCUCUAAUAAAUGAAUCGCCAAAUCUUUCGCAGCACGAUUAUCAACUUUUGAAAAGUUAAAAGUAUCAAGUCGUGGAUGAUAACAAUAAUUAGCAAAGAAAGGUGUUUGUUUUGUAGAAGAAUGUACCGUGUUAUUAUAAGCAAACUCUGCCAAUGGCAAGAGAGUUGUCCAAUCAUCUUGUUGGUAGUUAAUGGUACAUCUUAAAUAUUACUCCAAAACUUGAUUAACAUACUGUCGUGUUGUGGUUCAGCUACUAUAUGAAAAUAAUGUAAUUAUGUACUUAAUAUAUAAUUUAUUAAGUAACAUGGUGAGAGCCAUGUUAGUAGAUUUUAGUUGGUUUUAGAAUAUAAUUUGAGUAUUAUUUUGAGAAGAGGUUGUUUAAAAAGAUUACUAUAGAAUUUGUAUAGCUUUAAUUUUCAAUUGAUAGUGGCUUUUAAGAUUGGUUUUGGUUGAUAGUAACUUCUAAAUAUUUAGAGUCACUUUUGUUAGACAUUGGUGACAUUUAAAAACUUAUUUUGGUUCUUUUAUUUGAUGUUUAGAGCAUAAAUUAUGUAAGUCUUAUAAAAAAAAAGAUUGAAGAAGGAUUUUGGUAGCAAAGGGAGUAAUUAGGGCACCAAUAUAGAUGAAUGGAGAUGAAAAAUAAAAAUCUCCAUUCCUUUUGAUCAAAAAUCAUGACCAAUGGGCUUUGAGUAGGCUGCCCGAGGCCAUAUUAGGAAUUAGGGUUAGUUUCUCGAGUCCAUUCGAACUCUGAAGGCUAAGGUCAAAAGGUUUAGGUAUUUGAUUAAGGUUUUGGUUCAAGUUUUGUGUCAUUUGGGGUUUUUAUGAAAAAAAUAUAGGCGCUCAAAGUUAAGAUGUUAGUUUUGGACCUACUAUCACUCUUUUGAGUAUAACGCACGCGAACGGAUGGCAAUUGAGGAUUGGCGACUGCGACUGGAGAGAGCACUUUUACGGCUAUAUUUUUUGCAUAUUGCUUACUAUAUUCUAAGUUGGAAUCAUGGAGUUAUUAGAUUUUGAAUUCAGCACAUGGAAUCUAAGGGUAGUAAGUAAACCGAUUUACUAGUGUUUGUCUCUUGAGCUAUAUCUUGAGCAAUUUCACAAGGUUUUGGCUCAAAAUUUCAAGGAAUGAGUAAUUUCAUGUUAGUAAACUUUGUGCAUAAUUUUUUUGAUAUUUGGAGUUCGGAUUUAUGAGAUAUAAGGAAAAUAGUUUUUCGGGUGCUUGUAAAUUAGGAUUUGGGGUGUCUGCUAGGGUUUCUUAGAUGCCAAAAGAUCGGGAGUGAAUUUACAGUUGGUUUUUUUGUGGUAAAAUUUAAGGAUAAAUUAAACCUAUCUCAUAAAUUUGAUUAAAAAAAAUGGUUAGAUCAAUAGUUAUGAUUUUCUAAAGUUUGGGGGCAAAAAAAUCCUUCGCAAGAAAAAUAUGUUUUUAAGGGAUUUUGUUAUAUUUGGGAUUUUAUACAAAAAUAAAGGAGUUAUAGAAGCUAAGAAAAGAAUCAUAUAAAGGUUUAAGGUACACUCUCUAGAGCUAGAUACCAAGUGUAUUCCCAGAUAGCAAAUCACGCCAUACGACAACGCUCCGUUCGUCCAUCAGUUUGUGGAUGGAAUGUCGAAGAUAGUUUUAUAUCUACUUUUAGAAUCUUGAAAAGAGUCCGCCAAAAUCUUGAUACAAAUUAAGUUCCCCGAUCUGAUAUAAUAUCAUUGGAUAAUCCAUAAUAGCGAUAGAUAUUGUCAAAAAAGAGCUUAGCUGUUUCUUCACCUGUGAUAGAUUUUGUACAUCGUACAAAAUGUGCCAUCUUGGUAAAACGAUCUACUUUCACAAAUAUAGAAUCAUAUGAACCUGAGAUUCGAAGAUCUGUGAUGAAGUCCAUAGAAACAGAAGACCAUGGAUGUUGUGGAAUGGAUAAUAGCUGAAGAAGUCCAAAAGGUCGAUGACGAGGAGUUUUUGAUCUUAAGCAAACAUCACAUGAUUGUACAAAAUCUUUCACUGCCUUUCACAUUUGAGACCACAAAAAAUCCCAAGAUAUCAGCUCUAAAGUCUUAUUAUAUCCAAAAUGUCCUGCUGCUGGGAAGUCGUGACGAGCUUGAAGAACACAUAAACGUGCUUCUCCUUCUGAAACAUAUAGGCAGCCUUCGAAAUAGAGUAGGUUGUUCUUGAAUUCAAAUUUAGAGGGAUCAUGAGAUUUAGAAGAAUUAUUCUUGAUAUCAUGAAUAAGAGGGUCUGAAGACAUACUUAACUAGACUUGCUUAAGAAAAGUUAAAUCAAUAGUCAAUAUUGAUUUUAUUGCUCGAAGAUGAAAUUGCUCCGGCUUCAAGAGAACCAUUUUUUGUUACUCAAAAGUUGCAUCUCCUUCUUUUGUUGCAAGAUAAGAACAUCUAGACAAGGCAUAGGACAAACCUUGUUGUUUUCUUCGUCGAUAAAUGAUGAUGAAUUCGAAUCUUGAUAAAGACAUGUUCCAAUGAGCUUGACGAUGAUUUAAUAUGCGUGCUGACAUAAAAUAUUCGAGGUUCUUGUGAUCCGUAUAGACGGUCUCUAUUGGAAGCGACUUCUAGAUAAUGAUGCCAUUCUUGAAAAGAAUCCACAAUUGCAAGAAGUUCUUUGUCGUAGAUCUCAUAAUUGAUUUCUGCUACUGAGAAUUUUCUUAAAUGAAAGGCUACUAGAUGAAGUUUAUCAUCUAUUCCCAUUUGUAAUAAAACCGCACUCAGAGCAAAGUCUGAUGCAUCUGUUUCCAUAAAGAAUGCUUUGGAAAAAUCAACAUGAUACAAGAUUGGUGCAGAAACAAAUGAUGUCUUCAAAGAUUCAAAAGCAACUUCCACUUCUUGAUUCCAUUGGAGUUUGACUUUACAAGUCAAACGUGUAAGUGGAGCUGCAACUCGAGAGAAGUCCUUGAUAAAGAUUCGAUAGUAGUUGGCAAAUCCCAAAAAACAUUGGACAUCUCUUACCGUUUUUGGGAUCUUCCAAUCUAUAAUAGUUUGAACUUUCUUAGGAUCCAUCAUAAGUCCAUCAUUUGAAAUGAUGUAAUCUAAAAAAUUGACUUAAGUAGUAUGGAAUACACACUUUUCUAUCUUGGCAUAUAGUCCUACAUCUCUUAAUUUUUGUAACACACGACGAACAUGAAGUUGAUGUUCUUCUGAAUUCUUAGAAUAGAUCAAGAUGUCGUCUAGGUAACAGAUGACAAAAUCGUCCAAAAACUCUCAAAAAACAUCAUUCAUUAGAUGUUGAAAAGCUGCUGGUGCAUUUGUAAGUCCAAAAGGUAUGACGCUGUAUUCAAAAUAUCCAUACCUAGUUCAAAAUGCAGUCUUUCAUUCAUCUCCUUCUUUGAUGCAUACUAGAUUGUAUGCUCCCCGAAGAUCUAUUUUUGUAUAGAUCUUAGCUUAAUUCAGUUGAUGAAGAAGUCUAUAUAUUAAAGGUAGUGGAUACUUAUUUUUGAUAGUAAUCUUGUUUAGUCCUUGAUAAUCAACAUACAUCCGCAAUGAUCCAUCUUUUUUCUUCACAAAUAGAAUUGGAGCUCUUGCCGGAGAUUUAGAAUGGCGUAUGAAAUUCUUGGCUAGAUUUUCUUCAACAUACUCCUUGAGUUUAGUCAACUCAUUUUGUGAUAAACUGUAGAUUGGUUCGAAUGGCGGUUGUGCUCCUUCUUGAAGGUCAAUUGAGCAACCAUAGGGAUGAUGUUUUGGAAGUGUAUCCACAUUCUUUUUUUUGAAUACAUCUUGAAAUUCUUGAUAUUGGCUUGGAAUGCCACUUGAAGUCUUUUCACCAGUAAAAACAAGUGUGGCAUAAAUAUUAUAUGGUGAUUCUUUCAUAGCAGCAUGCAAGAAAGCUUUUGCACCUAUCAAUACGAGUUUAAUUGAAUUGGACUUAUGACUCUCUACUUGAUUAAUUACACUGUUAGUUAUACUUUUAGAGAAAGUAAGAGUUCGGGAAAUCCAAUCUAUUUGAGGGUUGUAUUUUUUUAACCACGAUAAACCUAAAAUGACUGGAUUAGAUAGAGAUCUAAUGAUAUUAAAUACUACAAAACUAUUAUGACCAUUGAUUAUUACUUCUAUAGGAAGGAUUUUAUGAAUAAUAUCUCCAGAAGACAAUGGACGGCCAUCUAUGACUUCUACAUGAACAGGUUUAGUUUUCUUUACUAAAGAUAUGCUACGUCUUUUAGUAAAUUCUUCAUCUAAAAAACACGCUGAGGCUCCUAAAUCUAACAAGGCAGAGACUUUAUAAUGUUUAGGUCCUAAAAUAACAUUUAAUGUAAAACAAGGAGAGGGCUCUAACGAGAGAAUAGGACCUUUACUAGAUGUUGUGCAAGGUUCCAGCCACACGGUCCAUAUUAUAGCUGGACAAACUCGUUUUCUGACAUAUUGUCUUCUUUCACAGCCAUACUCCUCAUUUUGUAAUUAUGUCGUUUCUUUAGAUAAUGUUGAGCAGUGUGCUUUGGUUGUCUAGAAUAUAAUUAUAAUCCUUCUUGACGACGACAAGUCUUUUCUUGUUCAGUAAGAGGUUUGAAACGUACUGCAUCAAUUUGCAUAUCCUCUACUUUCGAAUGUAUGUUUUGAAGAGGUGUUGGUGUUGCCAUUGAAUUAUAGUAACGUCAAGGUUGGUUUUCAGAUCGGAAUUCAAAAAGGUGAUUGUCGCACUUCACAGCGAAGUCAAUUGCUUGACUCAAAGUUUGAGGAUCAGGUAAGUUGAGCAUUAAUUUUUUUACCUCAUAUUGUAAUCCGUAGAGAAAUUGGCUAAUAAGUGCAGCAUCAUCCCACUUGAUAUCAGUUGCAAGUUGUCAAAAUUAUGAAGCGUAUAAUGUUACUGAUCGAUUGCCUUGUCGUAAAAUAUAGAUCUUAUUGGUUGCAACAUGAAUUGCAUCAUAUUCUCUAUACAUGGAUCGAAACUCCGCCAGAAAAGCCUCUAGAUUAUUCAAUAUUGGAUCUCGUCAUUCAAGAAAAGAUGAAAACCAUGAUAGUGCUGAACCUGAAAGAAGCGUACCAAUGAAUCUAACUUGCGAUCUUGGAGUUGGAUAGCUUUGGGGUUGAAGUUCAAUCACAAGUUGCACUUGAUUGAUAAAUCCUCGAAACUUGGAUUUGAUGCCAACAAACUUCUCGGGUAGGGCAAUUCUUGGUUCUCUAAUAUUUGAAGGACGUUCCACCAAAGGAGAAAAGACAUGGUUUGGUGCAGAUGUUGAAGCAGCUCCAAUCAUUUCUAUAUCUUCACUUCCUGCCAAUCUUGUUGCCUCUUGUGGUGGUAAAUUGAGUUGAUGCAUCGUAAGCAUUAACUCCUUCAAUUGCUCUUGCAUUUGUGCCAUUGCAUUCUUCAUUUCAACAAGUUCUGUCAUGAUAAUACUUAGAAGAGAGAAGAUGUCUAAUAUCACUCAAGACAAAUAGAAGUCAGGACUUGGGAACAAAGAAAAUACUAAGGACAAUAUCAGUUUAGAAGAGGGUAAUCCGUAACUUCUAAUAUGCUUAUAUCUUAUUAAGAAAAUGGGGUAAUCCACUCUUAAUCAAGAUUAGACAAAGCUCUGAUAUUGUAGGGGCACUCUUGUCAAUCUGUCAAGGACAAGAACUCGAUGAAAAAUCAAUUCAAAUAAGUGAGCCUUCACUCAAAGAAAAGUAACAAAAUAUAAAUAAAUAAGUAUGUAUAUUGAAAGAGGAUCUAAAAUGGCUAUUGCCAAAAGACAAGAAAAUUAGAGACCCUUGAAACUAGACUGGAAGCAAGAAAGGAGUUGAGAAGAGUGAAGAAGGCUUCACUCUUGUCUCUAUAUAUACUAUCUAACUAGGAGAUAGGUGGCGACGUUCUAUAGGACCUCCAAUAUGUGUUGACUUUGUAGGACACAUGCCUUGACUUAUAAGGCAAGUUUUUCUAUGUGUAGGCCACAUAGUUAGCUUGAUCUUCAAGCUAACAACAUGUGUGGUGUGUAGCCAACUUGUUAACCACGUUUCUAAUCCAAAAAGUCAAUUAAAGAUACCUAUGAAGUCAAAGUAGCAUCUAUGAAGCUUCUAGAAUGCUUCCAUAUUAAAUACUAUAUAAUUAACUUACUUUUACCAACUUUUACUUACUUCUACUUAUUUCUAUAUGUAAUUACUAGCUUACAUGAGUAUGUCCGUGAGUAUGCCUGUGACACUUAUCCAAUAGCAUGGAUAUGAUAUUAGUGAAUACACAUGGGAGCCAAUAAACAAUCUUGUAGAUGCAGUAAAGAUAAUGGAGGCUUUUUAUUGAUGACAUCCAUCAAAAUCAAGAUAAAAAUGUUUCGUCUAAAAAAAAUAAGAUCUUGGUAAGAUAACAUUUUACUUUCAAUCCUUGUUUAUAGCUUCUUUGUAGUCGUGACGCUAAGGAGAUGGAGAAUCAACAACUAGUGGAUUCGACUGAAGAGCCUUCAUUUGUUGACCUGUAAGAUGAGACAUUAUAAUUAUCACAACCUUCAAGACGAUGCAAUCUAGAUGAAGAUCCUCAAGAACUAUAUGUUUUUCCUCAAAUAAAUGGCAAGAUACUAUGCAUUUGAUAUCACGACCUUAGAAGAGACUCCUGAUGUUUGAUAAUUUUAUUAAAGGUAGGAACUACUCCUUGUGGUAUUCCAAAUAUUUUAUUUGAAGUUAUGAAGGCCUUAACAAUGAUCAAAUAAUAGGGUUGUCUUCCCGCCUUGGUAUGUGAUACUAUCGAUGGUUGAGAGGCCCUAUGAACUAUCUUUGAAGAGAACAAAGAUCUGAGUAGGUGGCAAAUAUAAUUUGUUAUAUCAUAGAUUUUUUCAACAUAUAAUAUUCGCUCUUUGUGGAACUCAUUUCUAGAAGGGGAGGGAAGAAUAAUGUCACAGACAUAUACAUGUAAGAUAAUAAUUACCUAUAAAAGUAGAUAGAAGUAAGUAGAAUUAGUUGAAAAUAAAUUAGUUCUAUAAAUUCUUCUAUAAAAGCUUCCUAAAAGCUUUAUAGAUACUACUUUGAUUUUAUAGGUGUCUAUAAUUGAUUUUUUGGAUUAAAAAAGUGGUCAACCAGUUGGCCAUGUGCCACACAUGUUAUUAGCUUGAAGACCAAACUAACUAUGUGGCCCACAUGUAGAAAAACUUGACUUGUCAGUUAAGGCAAGUGUCCUACAAAGUAAACAAAUAUUGGAGGUCCUAUAGAACAUCACCACAUAGCCCCUAGUUAGAUAGUAUAUAUAGAGACAAAAGUGAAGCCUUCUUCACUCUUGUUAACUCUUUUCUUGCUUCUAGUCUAGUUUCAAGAGUCUUAAGUUUUCUUAUCUUUUGGCAAUAAGCCAUUCUAAUUUCUUUUUAAUAUACGUACUUCUUUAUUUCUAUUUUGUUAUUCUUUCUUUGACUUGGAUUUCAUCGAUUUAUGCAUCAUCUUUUAGUUCAUGUCAUUGAUAACUUCUUAUAUCAAGAACAAAUCCAAUCUCUUGAUGGAAGAGUCGAAAGAGGUAGUGUCAAAGAUGCCAUAUGCUACCCACUUUAGCAUUGAUCACAUAAAAGCAUGUUAGUAGUCCCUUUUUUUUCACUACAUAUAAAACAAAGAAGACCAAUUGGCACAACUGUCAAUUAUGGAUGUAUAGAGUUAUCAAUAGGCAGAUGACAAGGAGAACAAUUUUUUGAAUGCUUCCAACUCUCUUGUCCAUCCUUGUCUUCUUACAAAAAAAAUAUCAUCAAGUAGGACAUCUUUUACAUGUAGAAUUAUAAGCCUUGCUUUAAUACUAAGUGUUGUGGGUACUUCAUGUUGAAAGUAUACAUAAUCUCCUUUAGAAAAUCUUUGCAACUUGGAUCAAUAAGUUCUACUGCAAAUGUGACCAUAUUACAAAUUGUCACAAUAUUGAACAAAAGAUAAAUUUUCUAUAGCAAAAGAUAUGGCCUAUUUAAAGAACUUUGCUUGUUCAUGUAGACAUUGAGCCAAAACAUUAGAAUCAUUUAGGUCUAUAAUUGUGGCAUACUUUUCAUGUAUUGAAUUAAAUAGAAUUGGCUCCCAUCCAUACAACAAUUGAUAAGGACUAUAAGAUGCAAAAGAUGCUUGUCUAUUGAAGCAAUAAGCCAUUGCAAUCUAUGGCAACAUCAAGUUUCAAUUACGAUAGUUGCUAUAAAAUAAUUCAUACUUUUGUAAUCCACAUUUGAUAAUGUGAAUAAUCCGUUUAGCUAGGCCAUCUGACUCAAGAUGAUUUCUAGGUGUGAUACAAUGAUCUAUCAAAGCUUUAGUACUUAAAGCUUCAAAACUUCCAAAAAACUCUCUUCCUUGAUUUAUUAAGACUUCAACAGGCAAUUUAUUAAGACUUCAACAGGCAACUUAUUGAAGAGAAUGAAAACAAUCAACCACUUGAAGUAGCAUUGCCAUCUUUAGAAAUCAACAACAUCAACUCUGGAUGGUUUCUUGAUAGUGGUGCCACUAAGCACGUUACUAGGAACCACCAUCAGCUUCACAACAUAGAAUCUUAUAGCUGUAACAUCAAAACAACUAGGCAAAGUCACCACAUUAUUGGAAAAAGCAAUGUGAAAUUCAAUCUUCCAUCUGAUGCAAUAAAAGAGAAACCAAAUAAUUUUUUACAUUUGUGGAUUGAAGAAAAUUUUGUUAUCCAUAAGCUCAUUCAUGGAUAACAGGAUCAUUGCAUGCUUUAAUGUUAAAAAAUGUGUGUUAUACAGCAAAGGGCACAACAAGGUCAUAUCCGAAGGAAUUCAAAACAACAUCAACAAGCUAUAUCAGCUUACAUCACACCACAAAUCCACCUCCGUAAACCUUGCACAAACCGAUCUCUACAAGGUAAAAUUGUGGCAUUACAGACUAUGUCACAUUAAUUACUCUCGAUUACAUGAUCUAGCUGCACACAAUAUGGCCACAAAUAUCCCUUAUUUAGUAGUUCACCAACAGAUUUGCAACCACUACAAGCAAGGCAAACAAUCACAGAUGAGUCUCCCUUAGAAAAGUGAAACAUGAUCUUGAAAAAUAUUGGAACUGAUCAACAUUGACAUUUGCGGGUCAUUCCCAACAACGUCUCUUGGGGGCUUGAACUACGUACUGUUCAUAGUAGAUGACUGUAGCCGUUUUAUUUAGGUGUAUUUUCUACAUCAGAAAUUGCAAGCCUUCACAAAGUUUAGAGAUUUCAAGAAUAUGAUUGAAUUAGAAUUGAAAACAAAAAUCCAGUCCGUGCGAAGUGACCGCAGAGGGGAGUUUUUGUUGGAUGAGUUUAACUCACUAUGCCGAGACAAUGGGAUAAGACGGUAGCUCACUAACGCAUCCGCUUUAGAACAAAACGGUAUUGUGGAACGAGCUAAUCAAAAAAUUCUUGACAUGGCCCACACCAUGAUUAUUCAUGCUAGAAUGACGAACUUCUUAUGGAUAGAGGCCAUAAAUAUUAUUGCCUUCUCACCAGAUCCAAUGCGAAGUCAAUCCCUUCUAAAGGUAACACCGUAUCAGAUACUAUUUAACAAACGCCCUAAUUUAUUAUACUUCCGUGUUUUUCGAUCCAUGCCCUAUACAUGGAUUAAGAAAGAUCAGCGUGAUAAAUUCCAAUCUCGCACAAAGACCGGCUUUUUUGUCGGAUACGAUCACAAGAGUAAAGGUUUUUGAAUCUGGCUUCGGGCCGAUCACAAACUUAUGAUAUCCUGUAACGUGCGCUUUGACAAAACGAGCAUUCUAAAUGGAGAAUUAAUGACAAACUGAAACCAACUUCAGAGCCAAGAUAGCGACAACGUAAUUGGCAGGGCCGCUGCAGCCACACCAAUACAAAUCAAAGCCAAACACUACACUUCGUCACCUGCACCUAACCACAGCAGCAACACAAACAGAGAUUUGGACGUCAAGGAACCAAAUAACAUUGUCGAUCAGAUUCCCGCGACAACCUUUCGUGACAACGCCUUUGGAUCUUUGGCCAUGCCAGCAUGUACAUCAAAUGCAAUAGACUCAUCAUCCGAACACAAUAUCAUACGUCGACAUUCCACCCUGACUAAAGAAUCCUCCUCCAGAUUAAAGAAUAGUAUCAUGCUCUCGUGCGACAGCAAUCAGAAACUACCAAAAUUAUUGGCACCAUCUCCAUUUGAUUCAGACACACCCCAUCUAUAUAUAGAGUACGAUUGCUUCUUUGGAAUUACUAAAGAAUCUUCAGAUCGAAUACACUUCAAAGAAGUCGACGUUGACCUUAACUGGAAGGAGGCGAUCGAACAGGAGCGCAACUCUAUCAUCCGAAAUAACACUUGGAAAAUCUGCAACCUCCCACCAGGUGCAUCAAUUGUCACAGCAAUAUAGACCUUUAAGGCCAAAAGUGGAGCCAAUGGAAAACCUACCAAACGAAAGGCGCGGCUAGUUGCAUGCGACUUCCAACAUAUCUAUGGAAUGGGUUACGAUGAAGUCUUCGCUCUGGUUGCGAAGUGAAAAGUAGUGCGCUCCAUCGUAGCCCUCGUAGCCAGUAACAUAUCCAUCUCGAUGUGAGAUUGGCAUUUUUAAAUGGUGAUCUAAUAGAAACGGUAUGUAUGCUCAUCCUUGACGGGUUGCGCAACGCCACCAAUUCCACCAAGGUAAGUCGAUUACACAAGUCACUCUACAGCUUAAAGCAGACACCGCGCGCAUGGUUCGAGAAGAUAAAUGAUUUUCUAGACACAUACAAUUUCGGUAGAACCAAAGCAGAUUAUAGUCUUUAUUUACUCCGAGACAACAAGGGCAUCACCAUCCUAAUAUUGUACGUUAACGAUCUCUUGAUCACCGGUUCCAGCAACAAUAAAAUCACUUGGAUUAAGAACCAGCUUGUGAGGUGUUUGAAAUGUCCAAUCUCGGCCACAUAAAUUUCUACUUGGGUAUAGAAUUUAUUUGCAGCCCUGAUGGAAUCCUACACUCACAGAGAGCCUGCGCCACUUAGAUAUUAAAAGAAUUCGGCAUGGAAGUUUGCACUCCAUCCUCCACACCCAUGACAGAAGGGUUCAAUCUAGAUAGAGAGGAUGAUUCACCACAAGUUGAUGCAAAGCGCUUCCAAAAGCUCGUGGGGAUGUUCAUACACUUGGUAAACACAAAACCAAAAAUCUCUUUCACCACGGGAGUACUCAUCAGAUUCAUGCAUGAUCAUCGAGUUUCGCAUCGACAAGCUGCAAACCAAGUCCUCUGAUACAUAAAAGAUACACUAGAACUUGGAAUUUUCUAUGAACAACGCCACAACUCAACAAUUCUAGGUUUUACAAAUUCUGACUGGGCGAACUGUAAGGUUGACAAAAAAUCAAUCACUGGCUGGGUAUUCAAAUCAGCAGGGGGGCGGAUCUCGUGGGCAUCUAAAAAGCAACACAACGUCACAAUAUCAUUAACAAAUGCUGAGGUAAGAGCAUUAGCAGAAGGAAUUUGUUAAGCCAUCUAGCUUCAAACUCUAGCAUCUAGAAUUCAUGGAACGAAUCAGGAACCCAUCUCCAUCUUCUGCAACAAUUGAAGCACACUCAAAUCUGCCCGCAAUCCGGUGUGUCACAACAAAUCCAAACACAUGGAGAUGUGGUUACAUUAUAUAUGGGAAAUUGUACUCACUGGAAUAGUAGACAUCUUCUACAUAUCAAUCCAUGAGCAGAUUGCAGAUAUCUUUACCAAAGCCACAGGAAGGAAUAGAUUUGUGAAACUUAGAAGUGAAAUGGGAAUGAGAAACUUAACUUUAUCAUCAAAAUCCUAAAUAGAACACAACCUAUCAGAAACCCUAGAAAAACUAGUUUCCAAUUACAAGACGUUUCGCUUCCUCCAUUGUUCUAAAACUCUUGUAGAUUGCACCUCAAAAUCUAGUCACCUGCCUCUUGCAAUCCGACCACCUGUAGUACACUCCAAGACAACAUCCAUGGCAAACAGCGUAGAAACGUGAUCAACAACCAGGAGCAUCAGGCUCGUCUCUCAAAGAAACUGACUCCUCAGAUCAAAUCACAUCGAAACCCUCACUGUUUACUGGAAGCCACAACAAAAAAAGGAGAUUAUCUGGACACCAGCCAAAAAUUUGAUGAAGUGCCGCCAAAAGAAACCAGAAGCUUAAUACAAGCAUCUGAAUUUGCAAAGAUAUUGACUGAUGCUUACAAUCUCUUCCAAUUAAGGUAAAACACUUAAAAUGUCUUGCACUUUCUCAUUCUAAAACCACAAAGAUAGAAACACAAGCAAAAAAGCCUAAGCAUCGCAACAACUAAAAUCCACUUGACUACCCAUUUUCCUUCAACUUAUGAAACUUGUAACACCCCGAUCGCGCUGUCGCAUUGCAAUAAAACUUAUCCAAGACUCUAAGUGCGGGGGGUGUUGGAGACAUCCACUUCGAGUCUCCUAGACUCUGUCAAGAUAGGAACGUAGACGAAUAGCAUCCAUCCACUACUCAAAGCUUGUAAAUGUACCAGUCCCUUACCCUUCAAUAAAACAGUGUUGCCAUUUCUUUAGUAUCGUUGCAUAUGCAUGUAUUAGGAUCAGUGAGUAACGUUCAGGACCCAUAUUAGUGUCGCAGUUUAUUCUCACAUCAGACAGACGCAACUGGGUAAAUGCAGAUGCCAGCAUUGGUGAAGAGGAUUGGGUUGUAGUAUCACUGGUGAUGUGCAACGAAUCAGCAUUGUCCGAUUGUAAAUUUCAUUGUGCGAAUUUCAUCACUUUGUUAUCCUUCAUCGACAAGUUGCACCCCAAAAUUCUUGUAAGAUGAUGUGGAGCGAGUCACAAUGUCUUCGGAUGCAAAUGACAGUCUUUCAGAAUUAGCGUGUGAGCAGUUUACAAGUGAAGUUAGUGUGUCGAUUAGUUAACCAUGAGAGAGUACCUUGUCUUGCUCUUGCUAAGUGCCAUGUGUUUGACCAUGGAGGAUGCAGGAUCAGUCCUACCACAGCGCUGCCAAUUCUGAAUCUGAUGUUUGCAUUGUGUAUCCGUUGGAUGACAGUAUCAAUCUCGUCGUUAUACGUCAUUCGAAAACUACACGCCAUCGAAUUUACAAAACAUCGGCAUUUUAGGAUGGGUGCUUUAAUAUGCGACAGUGGCAGUUAUCGUCUUUGGAGUCAUUAGUUUUUCUAUCCAAUCGGGCAACAUCUAUCUACCCUUGGUCGCGAUGGUACAUGAAGUAAGUUCCUUGCAGCAUUGUUUUGGAUCCAGCUGACGUAUCUUUGUCUUUUCAUCCUCACCACCUCCAUUGCCGGGACUUUUUUUUAUUUCAUAAAAUUAUAAUUUUACCUCUGUCAGGCCGUCAUAGAUAGCACAAAUGAGAGUAUCCUGUUUGUUUCACAAUUCUUGUUGAAUCUAGUCAUACUAAUUGUAGAACUUGGUUGUGUAUGUCCAUGUUCUUGGGCAGCUUUUGCUUAUUGUUGGACGAAGAAUGUGUGCGUGUCGCAAAUUGAAAGAAAAGCAGGGUUUUAAUCCCAUCUUGCCUACGACAUUUCUACACAACACUUUGGCAUCUACUGGGAUUUUCUGAACCACAACUCUUUUGAUUUUCUGUCUUUGGAUCAUCUCUCCUCUGGGACCUUUGCUGGGCCACUCACUUGUCAAGAUUCUGAAACACUAUUUUGUAAUGUAACGCACUCUUGGUAGCUGCAGAGUCAAGUGCAUUCAUCACGCAACAAUAUCAACAAACCUCCAGCUUCUGUAGCAGUGUCUUCAACAUUCGAUUCCCUAUAAUUCCUGAAAUCUCAUUGAAUCGCCCGCUGUUGUCAACAUCCAAGAAUCACUUACACUCCAAAAAAGAAUCCAGAAGUUCGAAAAAUUAAAACAGACAGAAAGGUCUGUUGGCACCCUUUUGCGUGAUACCUUGAUGCUGCUAGGAAGAUUCCUUUGAAUAGGCGAUGCGCGUUAAUCGCAACAACAAAUGUAGGCCUCUCCUGAACACUACUUUAAGACGAUUACAUGUGAUGAAUGUCCUGAAGAAUGCGGAUCCAAUCACAAUGCAGUGAGCACCCAUCGUUCACAAUACUUUUAGAUCAUUGUCAGUCUUCUGGACACUUCGCAAAUUUCGAAUUCUGAUUGGACAUCUCCACCAAACACACAACACACACUGCUACUACUAUUGCGAAGGGUUCUGAAGCAGAAGAACCUCUGAAAACGAAACCAGAAGAGGGAGGGAAUCAUUCAACCCAACGUGAAAUCUUCCCAUUCACAAAAAAUUACGAGUAUUGUGACACCUGGGGGUUAUUAAGAGCCAAGCGCAGGAGGGCAAUCCGGCUGCCCUCAGCUGGGUUGGGUUCGGGCAGCGCACAACCGGAUAAGCCCGUACCGGGCAGGUCCCCUGGUAAGUGUCAUCGGCAAGGAAUCUCUCAUCACCACUACGUCGAGGAGGCAUUCUCUUUCUCUCGUCCCCUCGGAGCUCUCACCCUGCGAGGAGCCCCUUGAAUUGCCUGCCAUCCCGUGCUUCACCGUGCCGACCAAGCCCUCCCCUCAUCUCAUACUCUGGAUGGUAAGCUCCAGGAGCAUUGAAUCUCAUUUCAAUCACUUGCAUCCCCCCCCCCCCCCGCCCUUUGGAGACUCUCUUCUGUGAGGUUACGAGGUCUCUUGGAAGGGGGUACCGUUUCGGAGUAUCCUCUCGCCGCAGUUAUUUUCUUUCGGUAGAUUUUGUUUGCGACUGUCUAGUGUUGUUCACUUGAGAAGAUUGUUCGAAUGAUUGUGUGUAUGGAAGAGGUUGUUUGGGGGUUUUGUGUCGAGGGAUUUGAAGGGUUUAGUGUGGGUCGACAUUCCAUUUUUGGAUGAGGGUAAUAGUGUGGUUUAAACUUUGCUGUGGAUAUUUUUGGGUGUUGUCAGUGUGGGUGGUUUGGAACCCUUAGGGUGCAGUUUUAGGGUGGGGUUUUGGAGGGUUUAGAAGGUGAUAAGGCCCUUAGAGUGCGCACAAUUUGGUUGAACGAACGUGAUGUCAUUUGGGUUUGUGUGAGAUUUCUUGUUUUCUUUUGGUUUCAUUCCCCGUAGAGAUGGGUCUCUGUUGGGGAUCUGAGGGAGCGUAUAGGGUUUGUUGUGAGUUCGUAGCUGCUUCACAUGCUCAAUUCUCUAUUUAGGUUUAUUUUGAAGGUAAUAACUAUCGUUUGCUUGUAUGGUUUUCAGAGUUGUUGGCGAGCUUGGCUAAGAACUUGGAUAAUGCUGCAAUGUGUGUUACAGAAUGAAGGAUUGGUGUUUACUUGCUUAUUAAAAUAAAAUUACUUCUCAGUUGGGUCAUAAUGAUUUUCUGUGUUGCUUUACUUAUUGAGAAGCAGCAGAUUGGGUGGUGAUUGUAGGGGGUGAGCAGUUAGAAGAAGAGAAGCAUUUUAAUACCUAUAUGUGGGUGAUGGUUUGUGCUGCCUCGGGAAUGACACACUGACACCACGGUGGCAAGUUGAGGUUUUGGUGAAGCUCUUGAAAUCAUGGAGACUCUUCGCAAUGUGAGCAGCACGGAGAAGAGUAAGGAGAGCUCUGAGGCUGUGAGAGGUGCUAGUGAAACCUCUUCCAUUCCUGAACGGAAUAGUGGUGGUGGACCUGAUGUUGAGGAAAGUGGAGGGAGGAUCAAUUCUUACGCGGGGCCUAGUCCUCCUAGAGCACCCGUCACUGAUGACACGGAAGAUGAAGUAGAGGAAGUUGAUGAAACCGAAGAUGAUGACAACGACGAUAGUGCUGUUGAGAAUACCUCUAGCCUUGUGGAUUCUGCGGCCAGCCGGCCUUUGGGUUCUUAUGCAGAUGCUCUGACGUCGAUGCCUGUCGCCAAGGUAACUACCGAGGAUGAAGAGCAAGACGAUGACGACGACGAUGCCGAUAAAGCUGAUGGUAAAUGGAAUUGCGCAUUUUAUUGCUUGUUUUUCCUUCUGCAGCAUUUGUAGACAUUGUGGUAAGAGGUAGGAACUAUUUUGUGCUGCUGGCUGAUACUUCGUCGUUUUGAAAACGUGUUAGAAGAGGAAGUCGACGAUGAAGAAUAUGAAGAAGCAGAUGACCAAGCUUCGGUUGAGGAUUUGUACGGGAACUCCUCCGCAUUGAGUAGAGGCAGUGAAGGUAGCUUGCCACGGAGUAUACCACGAAUCAUCGCGCGGGAGUCUGGUGAUGAUAUUUCUGAAGAACCUUCAGAGGACGAAUAUAACGAUAUUUCAGAGGAGGAAUAUAAUGAAGAAGCUGUGGAGGAAGCUGUAGAGCCUGAAGAGAAAGAGCAGGUUACCAUGGAGGUAGAAGAGAAAGAACAAUUCGAGUCUCCAGUUGCUGCGGAGGAGUCCACCGUGAAAGAGUUGAAUGCCACACCUGCAGUAGUGCCCCCUGCAGAUGCUGAUGUUGGCGAUGUCUCGAGGACAGAUAACUCGAAUGCAGAGGAGAGUCCUAUGAAUGCAGAUGCUGAUGUUGGUGAUGUUUUGAAGAAAGAGAACUCGAAUGCAGAGGAGAGCCCUAUGAAUUCAGAUGCGUGUCGUGAAGAAGACAUUGUUGCGGAGAAAGUCGAGAAAGAGUUGUCUCAAGCAGUAAUGACUGAGGAUUCGCAGGAAGUAGGAUCUGCACAGUCGCAGGAGGAAGUUACCGAACUGAUGCAGGCAGUGUCAUCUCUUGCCGCUGAAUCCGAAUCUACUGACCAGGGAGUGAAGCAAGAAGUCGCCCCUGAGGUUGUUCCUCUUGCAACUUCAGAAAUAAAGCAGGGUGAGUUGGAGGAGAUUGAGCAAGCAACCACCCUACCGAAGACCGACGUGGAGACCAGAGGAUGCUCAUUGGAUUUAGCCGAGGAGUUGCAGAAGCUAUCUGUGUCACGUUCACUGAGCAACGAUGUUUUGAAAUCCGAUGAAGCAGAGCGUGCAGCGAUCAUUGAGAAUGCACCAGCUGAAAGUACCAUUGACGAAUCUGUUGUUAAUGUUGAAACUGUAACUGAGUCGGGGUACAUUGUUAAGAGGGCCGCUUCAAACGAUCUCAUGGCUGAGUUGGAAAAGCUGGCUGCUGCUCGAUUGGAGAAGGAAGCAAGUAACAAUACUGUAAAUCCUGUCAGAGAAGUAAGUGAGGAUGAUGUCAAGGAUGUCUCGGGAGAGACCACCGUUGUAACUACUAGCAUAUCGGAGGGAGCUAAUGAGUCGUUGUCUAAGAAGGAAGACGAACCCGCUUUGAUAGGAUCCAAUGUGCCCGAGGAACUUGAAGGGAAUUCUCUUGAAGUUCAGUCGGCGAUUACUACAGACCUAGAGAAAGUUAGCUCUACUCCCACACCUAGUAACGCCGAAAAAGAAUCUCCUGAAGCGACUGAGGUACGAAUUGUGGAAGAAGGCAAGUUGGAAAAAGCAGAUCCUUCAGUUGUGAAUGAAGAAUUGUCGAAGGAAAUCCUGGAAGACCCAGAAGUGGUACCUAGUCCAGCGAAGAUGUAUACUGCCUUAAAAGCCGUCGACGGUGAUAUGCCAGUUUUGAAGUCAGAGAAUGGAAAUGUAGCUGGGGAUGAAAAUGUAGAAUCAGAAUCACGGGUUCUUCCAGCGGUUGAUUUCGCAGGCAAGGAUGGUGACACGGACGCUAAUACAGCGGACGAGGAUAAUGAGAAUGAUGAAGAUGAUGUAGAUGAAGAUGAAGACGAAGACGAUGCAGAUAUGGAUACAGCAAAGGCGCUAGCAGAGUUGGCUAUGACAGCUGGAAAAUCUGGUAAUCCCGCUUUUGUAGAUUGCUUAUCUCAAAUUUUUCUUACACUUAUUGUUCUUAAGUCACAUGUCCUUGCUUUGUCUUCUAUCUUGCAACCUUCAGCGGAUUGCUAUGCGGAAUAUCCCAGCAACGUGUUAUGAUACAGUUGUCCUUGAGAUGGCACGCUUGAAAUUUCAUGUUUUACCCGCUUGUCUUGUUCGGUUGUUUUCAGCACUGUAAUGUACAUGUUGACAGAUUUCAGCACUUUGGAUGAUUUUCUGCUGUUGACAAGUCAUCAUCGGACUCCUGGCCCGUGUUUUCAAAGCAUUUUGUCUUUGAGUUUCUCUUAGUGUUACUUUCUGUUUUGGGUACUUGUGAGGAACCCUUUGUCUUGCUUUUAUGUAAUAAGGAAUUGUUUGCGUUGAUCUUUUUUCAGGCGAUGUUUCGGAGAGCGGCACCAAGCCAUCCAUGGGUGCAGCGGGACCCUCUUUGCCUUCUUUACCUCAACGGCCAGCUGUUAGAAAACCAAUUGCUGCAACAGCAUCGGACUCGCCUGGCAGGAACACUCAGCGUCCUAACGGUGCCCUAUCAACUCAAAUUACAAGCACCACUGAUGAGAGCGCUAGUAGCGACGCAGCAGAAGGCGAUGAAACUAGAGAGAAACUUCAGAACAUCCGAGUGAAGUUCUUGAGGCUUGCUCACCGAUUGGGACAAUCCCCGCAAAAUGUGGUUGUAGCCCAGGUGCUGUACCGUUUAGGCUUGGCCGAGUCAUUGAGAGGCGGCAGCGCUCCCAACCGCUCGGGAGCAUUCAGUUUCGACCGCGCUAAUGCCCUAGCCGAAGAGCAGGAAGCAGCCAACCAGGAAGAGGAGCUUGAUUUUGCAUGCACAAUUUUGGUUCUAGGAAAGACUGGGGUUGGAAAGAGUUCGACUAUCAAUUCAAUAUUUGACGAGCGCAAGUCUGUGACAAGUGCCUUUAAACCAUCCACCAACAAAGUACAGGAGGUCAUCGGCACGGUACACGGCAUUAAGGUAUUGGUCUGGACAGGAUUGACAUUCAGUGUAAUAUCCCUAUAAAUUUUUGAAUUUGGAUGAUGUUAUGGACGUUGGGUUAAUGCAGAAGCGUAAUCUCGACCACUUCUUCUUCUACUUCUUUUCCUGUAUAUAUAUAAUAAUAAUAAUAUAUUAAUUUAUUAAUUUUAUACUGGAAAGGGAUACUCAUGUGUUACUUUUCGAUGUUCUUUUGCAGGUAAGGGUGAUAGACACACCCGGACUGCUCCCUUCUGUGGCAGAUCAACAGCACAACGAGCGUAUCAUGGGGCAAGUCAAGAAGUACAUCAAGAAGGCGUCUCCAGACAUAGUUUUGUACUUUGAUCGUUUGGAUAUGCAGAGCCGUGACUUCGGAGAUCUGCCUUUGCUGCGGACCAUCACUGACCUAUUUGGAGCCGCGGUUUGGUUUAAUGCCAUUGUGGUGUUGACCCACGCCUCAUCCGCCCCUCCAGAUGGGCCCAAUGGAGUUCCUCUGAGUUACGAGAUGUUUGUAGCACAGAGGUCUCACGUAGUGCAGCAGACAAUUCGACAAGCAGCUGGAGACAUGAGACUGAUGAACCCCGUGUCUCUAGUAGAAAAUCAUCCUGCUUGCAGAACCAACCGCACUGGUCAGAGGGUUCUGCCUAAUGGACAGAUUUGGAAGCCACAAUUGCUGUUGCUGUGCUUCGCCUCGAAGAUAUUGGCAGAAGCAAACUCAUUGUUAAAGCUCCAGGAGACAACAGCUCCGGGUAGACCGUUUGGGCAGCGGUCCCGGGUGCCACCUCUGCCAUUUUUGCUUUCCUCUUUGCUUCAAUCUCGAGCACAGUUGAAGUUGCCAGACGAACAAGCUGGAGAAUCAGACGAGUCCGAUGACGAUGAGGAAGAAGAGGACUCGGAUGCUGAUGAUUAUGAUGAACUCCCUCCUUUCAGGUGCAUUUUGGUUUAUCGUCGUUUGCAAGAAUAUAAACAUGCGUCUAAAUUUUCAUGGUUAUUCAGCUCUUUGAUGUAUCUACUUUUUUAUCUUCAUUUCUUGAACUAGUUCUCGUUGGCCUGAUGCCCGUCCUCAACUAUCCUUUAUUUUCCGAUUGUUAGUCUAAUGGUUCCCAACCUCCCAAAAUUUCUAGCUUAAAUGGUAUUUCAUUCCUGUACUUAUGACGCAUUUCAAUAUUGCAGGCCACUCUCCAAGGAAGAGUUGGAGGAUCUUACCAAAGAGCAAAGGGAAGAUUACAUGGAGGAGUUGGCUGACCGAGAAAGGAUGUUCCAAAAGAAGCAGUAUAGGGAGGAAAUUCGCAGAAGGAAGGAAGCCAAAAAACGUCAGGCACAGAUGUCUAAGGAAGAGCUGGCUGAGGCUGAGGAAGCAGAAGAUGAGGCAGGGAAUGCCGCUGCAGUGCCUGUUCCGAUGCCAGACAUGGCGUUGCCUCCUUCAUUUGACUCUGACAAUCCCACACAUAGGUAACUUCACAGCACCGCACAUGGCUCAAGCUGAUCAUUUUCAAUCGGAAAGUUGGAAAACGAUCCCCUGACUCAAACUUGAUAUCGUUUUGAUCCCUUUGGAGUUACCCGUGUGCAGGUAUCGUUACCUGGAGACUGCGAACCAGUGGCUAGUACGUCCGGUAUUGGAGACCCAUGGGUGGGACCACGAUGCUGGGUACGACGGUUUCAACGUGGAGAAAAUGUUCGUGGUGAAGGAGAAGAUUCCUGCUUCCGUGUCGGGCCAGGUGACGAAAGACAAGAAAGAAGCCCAGGUGAACUUCGAAGCAGCGGCUUCGUUGAGGCACGGAGAGGGGAAGGUGACUCUGACUGGGUUCGACGUUCAGACGAUCGGAAAGGACUUGGCGUACACGGUGCGGGCAGAGACGCGGUUCAACAAUUUCAAGAGGAACAAGACGACGGCGGGGGUGACUGCGACGUACCUGAACGACACGAUCGCGGCGGGAGUGAAGCUGGAGGACAGGGUAUUGAUAGGGAAGAGGGUGAAGUUGGUGGUGAACGGAGGGGUGCUGACAGGAAAGGGCGACAAAGCAUACGGUGGAAGCCUGGAGGCGACGUUGAGAGGGAAGGAGUAUCCUUUGAGUCGGACGCUGUCGACGCUGGGGUUGUCAGUGAUGGACUGGCACGGCGACCUGGCGAUCGGGGGGAACCUGCAGUCGCAGUUCAUGGUGGGGAAGACGAUGAUGGUGGGAAGGGCGAACUUGAACAAUAGGGGGUCGGGUCAAGUGAGCAUACGGGCGAGCAGCUCGGAGCAGCUGCAGAUGGUGUUGAUUGGGAUUGUUCCGAUAUUGAGGUCUCUAAUCAACUGCCGUUUCGGCUUCGGUGGUCAGUCCCAACAAUAAAUUUCGUAGAUAGCUACAGGAUAGUUUUGGCCCCCAGUUGGCCUCCUCCUUACAGCUAGCUCUGUACAUGUGUGCUUUGGAUGCUCAGCAAAAUCUUGUAGAAGAUUCAUGUUUUGGUGCGGAGUAGAAUUGCUUGAUGUACAGGCGCUAUGAUGACGACAGUUAUGCCAAGUCAGUUGCUUGUAUCGGCCAAGAAUUCCGUUCUCUUGUCCGUCAAUUGGAGAGUUUUAGUGCGAGUUUUGUUAGGGCUGUAGUUGCAGUUUGGAGACCUUAUGAUUUUGCCCCUCGGUCGCCAACUUUUAGUGUGGAUUUUAGUUAUCUGCACGUAUGUGCUCUGUAUUGUAGUAGACUGGAGUUGAGUAGGGCAUGGGGUCGCAGAAAAGGAGGGAAUUAUCUGUGGGUAUGAGAUCUUGUAGCGAGUCUGGGCUGUUACUGAUAUCUUAUCACUGACACAGACCGUCAGCUGAAUAGGCAUUUCUGUUUGGACUGAAGAUGAGCUUCGUAAUGUUGUAGUCAAUGCAACCUAUUUGAAGAUGUCCUGCAUUUCGAGGUUACUCCUCUCAUUGCACACAUCAUUGAGUUUAUUUCCUUGAAUUUCUUUGAGCUGUUUUUUCAGCAAAGCUCCUACUCGUGUCUCAUCAGUCGGAAUCCUAGCACGAUCUGAAUUCUCAAUGAACUCUUGAAUUAUGUUUGUGUAAAUUGUAAUCAGGUCUUUGUGUCGUGGUCCCUUAGUUGACCUCUAUAUCAGAAGGUUGGCCAACCACUUAGAAGUCGUUGCAAAAGCUGAACCCGCUGGCCAUCUCAGUCACCGUCUGCUUGAGGCCGUUAUCAAUUCGGAACACAAGCGGAGUGUGGGAUCAAUCGUUGAGCGAGUCUGCGCGUGGAUGGAUAGAAUGGAGGCUGAGGAGAACCCUCCAGCUGUCUCUUGCAUGAUCAUGUCUCUUAAGAAUCCUUUUUGGAUCGUGGAACAUAACAUUUCUUCAAAACCGCAGAACUUCGUUACAAGAAGCCAAUCGGUGGAAUAUACACAGCGAGAAACUGUUCGUGUGCAUCACGGUAAACGACCAAACCGCGAUUUCCAGAGCUCAGAGCCUCUUGGCUCAUCCACCCGUCACUUUGCCACUCUUUCCUUAACUGGCCAGUCUUCUGAACUUGCUUGUCCGCCUGGUUGCUUUGAUUGCUCUGCUUGCUCCUUCAUUCCGAAACAAGUUUGCGAGUCUCUUUGAACGGACACUGUCCAUAAAACAUUGCCCGACACUGAGUUAUUGUCUGCGUGUGUAUCCACCACUGGAAGAGCUAGAAAAUGGAUUGGUAACCACGUUCAGUUCUACUGUUUCAUCUUUUUGGUGUAUUUUGACAUGUUUGCUCUAUUGAGAAGCUUCUCUGAAGAAUGUUACAUAGUGGAGGAGGUAUUUGAAUUCUGGGUUUGGAUUCUGAUGUUUUUAUCUGGAGAAUGAGUCAAGUCCUGAGGGUUUCGUGUUCGCUGGGCGGUAUAGAAUUCGAGUGAGCGGUUUUUUUUCGGUAGUUUUUGGACUGUGAAUGGCAUUGUUGUGUUUACAGAUUAAUUUCGGUAGUGUUUUUCGCGGUUUGAGUGGUUUGGGAUCGUCGAGUUAGCUUCUAGGGCGGGGUUUUGGAGGGGCAACGGGGUCUUAUCCUGUGCGGGGAAGGUUGUCGUCGUGCCUUGCUUUUAGCACAGUUUCCCGUUCCAGCGGUGAUUGGAUUAGCAUGUUUCACAGAGAAUUGUAUUUUAUUCCGUUCUGUUCCGAGUGAUGAAGCGCUUGGUUGGGUGGAGGUUAUUUGUGCUUUGUCUCGCAGGAAGAGUAGGUUUAAUCGUUUCAAUGCUGUCAUCAGGACUAUUUUUAGAGUUCUGAUGAAGGAAUUUUGUAACGCAGAGCAUGAGCAGGUGAGAAGAAUCACUUUCUGGGAGGACGUUGGUGCUGUUGCCUUGAGACGCUGGUGAAUUGAAACACUUCAGUAUAAUUAGGGGAACGUUUCGAGCAGGCAUGGCGAACAUCCCUUCGCUUACCUCCAGGAAAAAUACGAACAUCUUCAAGAGCAAGGAGGCGGUGAGAAUUCUAAACUCGAGAUCAACAUUCUGGUUGCCUGUGGACAGACGUAGUUAUCUGUGACGGUGGAAGAGGGGAUUAUGAAUGUCAUCGUUUCUGGGUUUUUGUCAAGGUCAAAUCGUCAGAUAUGAAGUUAUAAUCGUUCCUGAGACUUCAAUCGCCGAGUCUGUUGACAUUUCUAGGUUUAUGUGAGGGUUACAAUCGCCAGGGAUGGUACGGUUUUAAAACAAAAUUUGGUUUUAGCUACAGAAUUUAUUGUUGCUCAGUAUUGGCAUAGGUUUUUAAUUUUCCAGUUUUUCCACGAAUUUUUUACGAUUUUCUUGAUUUUUGCCGAUGUGCGUUCAUGACAGGAAAUUGAUUGCUGUGAAUGAGACAUUGAGGAAGAGUAGUUCAGAAAACAUUGGCAGUUAUGGACGCCCUUCGCAAGCUGGGUAGUUUGGGCAGGAGACGGGAUGAGGUAGAUACGGCGAGCAGCCCUCUGAAGAACGAAGCUUCAGCAGCAGAAAUUCCCAGGGAUCCUGUGCAAAUUAGCGGCAAAGAUGAGGCAUCACCUUCGGGCCUUACACCCAUCAGGGUGCGGGUACCAGAGGAUGUGAGAUCGGAAAGUGAAGUCAAACGAGACGGCGAUGAAGAAAGCGUUGGCAGUGGAGAGAGUUUCGACAGUGCCUUGGAGAGGAUGGAAGCUUCUUCUAUCACAAGUUUUGAGCCUCCUAGUCCGAUGGAGUCUAUCGAUGGGCGGUUCCAGUUUGAAGAUGGGGUAAGGGAGGAUUUAGCAGAAAGUGGACUAGACGGAAAUUUUUCUUAUGACGACGACGACGACGAUGAAGAAGAAGAAGAAGACGGGAGUGAGGAAGGGGAGUCCACUAGUAGCAGUAUCAUCAACUCGGAGUAUUCGUCUAGCGCCAGCAAUACGGAGGAUGAAAUGGAUAUCUCGGGGUAUGGAGCUUCCUCAGCGCGAACCAUGCUUGUGUCCAAUGAUGCAAGUAAAUCUGAUGAGGAAGCAAUUGAUGGUAAACUUUAUAAAUCUUUUACAUGUGUUUUGAUGUUAAAUUUCUUUGUUGUAUGAAUCGUGUCUGUAUGAAUCUAAAACGGGGUCGAAUAUAAAGGGUCGCUUGCUUGGCAUUUGUAACCCUGGCAAUAACUUGGACCAAUUAGAGUCACAAACUGAAAGGCUUCGGUGUGAUCGGCUUGUGGGAGUUCGACUUGCUCUAGAUGGUUAGCAGAAGAAGAGGCCGGUGUUGAAGAGAGGUUUGAGGAGGCAUAUGACGGAGGAAUGAACUCAGCCUGAGAAGAGCUAGAAACUGUCCCCAUUGGAAGAAGAACUACUAGAGAGUCCAGAGAGGAGUCAAAGGCUAGGGUUUCGUGGAGGGAUUUAACGAGGGAUGACGAAGUAUUUUUUGUUGAAACCCCUUGACAGAACCGAAGUACAAGUUAAGGAACGUCGUAACUGGAGAGGAGAAUAUGAGUGGUGGUCUUUCAGUUGAGAACGAAGCAAGAGGGGUUGCUCUUUCGUCUUGGAAGUCGGAAUUGGAAGACUUCUACGAAGCUUCACUGGAGGAUAACGAUGUUCAAGAGGAAUUGGCAGAGAAGAUAAUUAAGGUAGCCAGUGAACAGAAUGACGAAGAAGAUGAAGAAGUACAUUUUCCUGUCAUCGCGAACGAAUUGCCCGGGAGGAUUACACGGAAUCGGACAAUGAUCGAUAGCCCAGCUCAUCUUUACAGUGCCGUGAAAGCAGUUGAUUCAACACUUCCUGCGUUGAAGUCAGAGAGUACGAAAUCAAUUACACAGGGUUUUGUUGAGGCUGAGGAAGCUGAAUCGGACGUUUUCACAGAGGGUGAAGAUGGAUAUGAUGACGAAGAUGAAGAUGGCGAUAUACAAAUGGAUGUUUCGCAGGCUACUGAAAAAUCUGGUAGGUUCUGGUCGCGACCUAUACAGCUGUCUUCAUGUAAUGCAGAUUUUUAUGUUUUUCAAGUGUUUUGACAUAUUCCAAGAUGUAGUCUGGAGAAAAACAAUCCCAUUUUCAAUUGCAGAAGCCUUGAAUGAAAGUCUAGAAGAAAAGUAAUGCAACUGUUUAUCAAUUCUUUGCCAUUUCAUUAGACAUAUAAUGUGGCUGAGGUAUGCCUCUUCGCUGUAGGAACUCCGGAUGAGAGCGAAAGCAAUCCAUCAAUGGGUGCAGGUGGACCUCGUUUGCCGUCUUUACCCCAACGAUCAUCUGCUAGAAGAUCUGCUGCCACAACAGCAACGGGUGUGCCACGUCCUAAUACUGCCUCGUCAACCCAAUCAGCAGCCACCAGUGACGCGAGCAUAAGCAGUGAAUCUAGCGAAGCGAAUGAAAUCCGUGAGAAACUCCAGAAUAUCAGAAUAAAGUUCUUGAGACUGGCUCGCCGCUUGAAUCAAUCUCCGCAGAACGUGGUUGUAGCACAGGUGUUGUAUCGUCUAGGCUUGGCAGAAUCCUUGCGAGGCGGUAGUUCUCUCAACCGCACUAGAGCAUUCAGUUUCGACCACGCCAACGCUCUCGCAGAGGAGCAGGAAGCUGCUAAGUAUGAGGACCUUGACUUCGCAUGCACGAUUUUGGUUCUUGGAAAGACUGGGGUUGGAAAGAGUGCGACUAUCAACUCUAUUUUUGAUGAGUGCAAGACUGUGACUAGUGCCUACUAUCCGUCUACCACUAAAGUCCAUGAAGUUAGUGGAACUGUGCUCGGCGUCAAGGUAUGAACUUAGUUUGUUACUGUUCCGUUUGUCGAUUCAUUUCAGAUGGCAAAUUAGUUGUUUAGUUGUUAUGAUCCAACCUGGAGGAAAAUUUACGCUGAAUUACUUUAUUGGGCUCAGGUGAGGUUUAUAGACACACCUGGGCUUCUCCCUUCUACGGCUGACCAACGGCACAAUAAGAACAUUAUGAGACAAGUGAAAAAGUACAUCAAAAAAGUUUCUCCAGACAUAGUUUUGUACUUCGAUCGUAUGGACAUGCAAACUCGAGACUCUGGAGACGUGCCUUUGCUGCGGACCAUCACCGACGUGUUUGGAGCCGCUGUGUGGUUCAAUGCUACAGUGGUGUUGACCCACGCGUCUAAGGCCCCUCCAGAUGGAUCAAAUGGGACUCCCAUGAGUUAUGACUAUUUUGUAGCACAACGGUCACAUUUUGUGCAACAGACAAUUCGUCAAGCAGCUGGAGACGCAAGGCUUCAGAAUCCGGUGUCGUUGGUGGAGAACCACCCUGCUUGCAGAAUCAACCGAAGUGGGCAGAGAGUCUUACCCAAUGGACAGCCAUGGAAGCAACAAUUGUUGUUGCUAUGUUUUGCCUCAAAGAUAUUGGCAGAAGCGAACACGUUGUUGAAGCUUCAGGAAGCAUCAACUCCUGGAAAGCCAUUUGGACAGCGGUCUCGGGUGCCACCUUUGCCAUAUUUGCUUUCGUCUUUGCUUCAAUCUCGAGCUCAGUUGAAGAUGCCAGAUGAGCAACAUGGGGAGUCCGAAGACUCUGAUGACGACUCUGAUGAGGAGGAUGAGGAGGAAGGCGAUGAAUAUGAUGAUCUUCCACCAUUUAGGUACAACUCACUUUUAGUGGGCAAUCAUCUAGUGUCAACCUUCAUCUUUUUUUAUUUAAUUUACUAUUUCUUAACCAAAAUUGUGUGUGUGUGUGUGUGGAGGUUUUAUCAGUUCAAAAAGUUGAUUCCUUACUUAUGAGUUGUGUCCUGUUUUAGGCCGCUUUCGAAGCAAGAGCUGGAGGACCUUAGUAAGGAGCAGAGGCAGGAAUAUGCAGAAGAACUUGCUGAUCGUGAAAGGUUAUUUCAAAAGAAGCAAUAUAGAGAGCAAAUCCGAAGAAGAAGAGAACGAAAAAAGCAAGCGUCUGUGAUGAGCAAGGAAGAGCCAUCCAUACCUGGUGAUGGAGCAGAAGAUGAGUCAGGGCAACCUGCUACUGUGGCUGUUCCGAUGCCAGACAUGGCGUUGCCUCCUUCAUUUGACUCUGACAAUCCCACACAUAGGUAACUUCACAGCACCGCACAUGGCUCAAGCUGAUCAUUUUCAAUCGGAAAGUUGGAAAACGAUCCCCUGACUCAAACUUGAUAUCGUUUUGAUCCCUUUGGAGUUACCCGUGUGCAGGUAUCGUUACCUGGAGACUGCGAACCAGUGGCUAGUACGUCCGGUAUUGGAGACCCAUGGGUGGGACCACGAUGCUGGGUACGACGGUUUCAACGUGGAGAAAAUGUUCGUGGUGAAGGAGAAGAUUCCUGCUUCCGUGUCGGGCCAGGUGACGAAAGACAAGAAAGAAGCCCAGGUGAACUUCGAAGCAGCGGCUUCGUUGAGGCACGGAGAGGGGAAGGUGACUCUGACUGGGUUCGACGUUCAGACGAUCGGAAAGGACUUGGCGUACACGGUGCGGGCAGAGACGCGGUUCAACAAUUUCAAGAGGAACAAGACGACGGCGGGGGUGACUGCGACGUACCUGAACGACACGAUCGCGGCGGGAGUGAAGCUGGAGGACAGGGUAUUGAUAGGGAAGAGGGUGAAGUUGGUGGUGAACGGAGGGGUGCUGACAGGAAAGGGCGACAAAGCAUACGGUGGAAGCCUGGAGGCGACGUUGAGAGGGAAGGAGUAUCCUUUGAGUCGGACGCUGUCGACGCUGGGGUUGUCAGUGAUGGACUGGCACGGCGACCUGGCGAUCGGGGGGAACCUGCAGUCGCAGUUCAUGGUGGGGAAGACGAUGAUGGUGGGAAGGGCGAACUUGAACAAUAGGGGGUCGGGUCAAGUGAGCAUACGGGCGAGCAGCUCGGAGCAGCUGCAGAUGGUGUUGAUUGGGAUUGUUCCGAUAUUGAGGUCUCUAAUCAACUGCCGUUUCGGCUUCGGUGGUCAGCCCCAACAGUAGUUUCAUAGUAUAGCAUCGAUAUUGUGUAGUCAAUCCUUAUCUUUAGUCUGAGCUGAGCGUGAGAGACUUGAAGUGGCAGCAUUCUACAUAUCGUUUUUGACAGAGAGCGCUUAGAAAUGGCGGAUUUUCGCUGCCUUCACGCACGCAACUUGAGAGACCUAAAGAUGGUCGCAGGAAUUAGUUCUAGUCACUUGGUUCCUUAGUUUGACUAGCAAUGAGCCUGAAUUGGGACAUGCAGGUAAUCAUCCACUGUCGUAGGGAGUUCAUCACCAGUGUGUUUGUGGGCUUUUUUUCGCUCUUCUUUUUGUAAUUUACUGGGCUGAAUCUGGAGAUAUAUGUGUGUUGGUAGAAGCUAGUCUUUUGUUCCAACACAGUGGGUCGCCACGGGUUUCAUCUCACUGGAGUUCUACUAGAGAAAAUGUUCCCUUUGAUCUGGUAUGAUGAUCUUUGUAAUCAUUGUGAUGGCCAGUUGCCCAUUCCGAGCCUGCGAAUUCAAUGCAGUGCAGUACCUGCAUUGAAUUUGUCUUUCAGAUUUGAAAACUCAGAUCAUUCCCACGGAGCUGUGACCAAUGGAGGUGAUUGCAGGGAGAUGGUAGCUGUGUGAUUAUUUAACACUUUGCUUUGCGAAGUGGAACAUUGGUCGAGAAUGAGUCCAGUAGGAAGAGUGGCUUGAACGUGAACUUUGUAUUGCAUGAACUUUUGAUAUCUUUUAUUGCAUGCCAUUAUUGUGUAAAGAUUUUGACAGAAGGAUUCAGGGAAGAGAUUUUCCAACACGAAUGUAUUUCUUAUCCCCAGAAACGAAGUUUGCCUAUUUGCUGGCAUUGGAACUGUCAGCGAGAUCCUCUUUUGCUCCCCCCAAAGUCACCUUCAAAAUCUCAAGUGCGAUAGGAGAAAUGUGAUGUUUUGAACUUACGUGAAAACUGUGCCUCCAAAUCAAACAACAUGACAGUCAUUUAAGGACUAUUUGAUCUCCAAAAGCAACAAGCUGUCUACUUGAGAUGUUGAUCAUCUAACAUGUACUUUUUUUACAUUAAAUCUAAAAAUAAAAAAUGGGUUCUCAUUCAGAAGAAAAAAGAAAAAUGAUGCUUACCACAUAAUUAAUUUUAAAAAUUAUUUUGCAAUGUCUAAUUUUAUAUCAAUUUGCACCUGGAACUUUGUGUAACUUUUUAUGAGCAGAUAUGAUUUUAUGUUCUACUUUAGAAUUUAAUUGUUCUGCAAACAAUGGUUUGAUAGAUGCUGUGAAAUGUAUAUAAUUUUUGUGAAUAUGAAUCUUUUUACUUUUAUUUUUUUUUAUAAACUAAUACAAAAAAUAAAUUAUAUAUUAGAAUCUAUUGUUGUUUAAUUUAAAACAAUAAAGCAAAGAAAUAUUAUUACAUAAUUGCUUAUGGCAAUAAAGAUAUGGUUAAAGUAGUAAUUGUGGCUACCCAUACAAAUGUUUUGCUUGAAGAUGUUUGGUGCCAUUGAACUUUAUUGGAUUGCUUUGGCAUGCUUUGUAAGUUUUGUGGCACACUUGAAACAACAUUUCUAACAAUUGCAACAAUAGAAACAAUUUUUUUGUUAAUAUGAUUUGCUUAGACUAAUUUUUGUAGUAUUUUAAUAAAUCUCUUCUUAAGAGUAUCUUACAAUGCAAGGAAUAUGAUAAUAUUUUAGCUACAAUUAAUGAAAAUGGUCUAAAAGCUUCAAGUGCUUGAAAAUAUUAUUUUAAUUUAGAUCUUGUAUUAUUUUUUUUCAAUAAAAAUACAUAGAAGUAAUAUUAUAUCUUAUAUUUGGUAUUUUUUAUAAAAAUUAAAUUUACAUAAAAUUUAAUAUAUCAUAUAUUUAACAAUUAUACAUAAUAUUGUUUUUUCAUAUAUACCCCUCAAAUAUCCUAAAAUAUCAAGAAUACCCCUACAUUCUUGAUAUGUCAGGAUAUUUGAGUAAUAUAUAUAUAUAUAUAUAUAUAUAUAUGAUUUUUUCUCUUAAUAAAUUGAAUAUUUUGAUAAUCAGUCAAAAUCGUGUAAACAUAAAUUUGAAACACAUGUUUUUAAUAACUUAUACAAAAAAUAAGCUAAAGCUACAUCUAUCAAAGCUGAUUUAAUAUUGAUGAUAUUUAAAAAUUAUGAAUUUUGUUACUUAUGUGGAAAAUGGAUACGAAGUAUGGGUUUUCAAUGAUAUUUCAAUGUGUUCCAAUAAUGGAUUAAAGUAUGGAUUAAAGUAUGGAUUAAAGUAUAGAAUAUGAUAAAUGUUUUGCAAAUGUAAGAUUUUUUUGGCUCAUGUGCUUCGCAAUCAACAAUUGUGAAACCUCUAUGGAUUGUUUUAAGUGCAUUCUACCCAAUCUACAUGAUGACCUCUACAUUGUUUUUUAGAAUGUUGGCCUCUACAUUUUUUUUGAAAUAAUAAAACAAGUUUUUCAAUUAUAGAAUGCAAGUGCAUGAAGAAACCUGUUAUAUUCAUCAAAAAAUAUGCCUUGAAGAGAGGCAAUAAUUAGGACAAUGAGUCUCCUUGUGUAGUGGUGCAUUAUACUUUAACACUUUGUGUCCCCUCCAAUAACUUUGUGGUUGCAGUCUUUUGCAUAAGCAUCUUGUUGGAACAUGAAAACAAAAAUAGAUUGUAAAUGCACCAAGAUCCUUGAAUGCGAUUGCUUUUUAAAAAAAGAAUGCAUGAGAAGAAGAAGAAAAAUAAAGAUAUAUAUAUAUAUAUAUAUAUAUAUAAUAAAGAUAUAUAUAUAUAUAUAUAUAUAUUUCAGUUUUUUUUCCCUUUCAAAUACUUGCUUGCAACUUCUACUAUAUUAAUUCUAAAACCUAUACCUUGCAUGCAUGACUUAAAUUCAAUCGCAAGUCAAACUCAACAACUCAUAAAAGAUGCAAAAUUUCUUACUAUAAAAAUGGUGGGUAUCAUUCAAAUGAUUAGUUGAAACAUGUGAAGAAUGUGAUGCAGCAUAGAAAUAGAGAAAAAAACAUUCCUUCCAUUCUGACUGCAAAUAGUAGAACGACACAGCCCGAACACCCGCUCUGUGAACAGGGCCUUCUCCAUGCCUCCUCCUAUUUGGUCACCAGUUCGAAUCUCCAUUCCCUUCCGCCAAGGACAAGAUUAUGAUCGGAGUGAGCGUCUUGUGCUGUGGGCUCAAACUUGUCAAGCUUUGGUAGUUGCCGAUAUUGUGGGCUGUGAUUGAAGGUGUGCUCCACUUUCCCAUUUCGUCACAUACCGUAUAAAUUUUAUAUCUUGUUAUUUGGAGAAUCAACGCAAGCGCUUCCCUUUCGACCUCAUAAUUUUGAUUUAUGAAGUGACAGAUAGAGUGAUCAGAAAUCAUGGGAUAUCACUGGUAAGUCAGCCACCUCAAUUGUUGCCUCACCUACACCUGCCUCGGCAAUGCCACUGGACAUAACUGCUUCAGUCGAGAGCUCUAUUUCAGUGGAAAACUCGCUGGGUGGUAUGAUCAGUAGGCAAGAUAAUGCUCCAGAAAAUAUUUGUUUGUAAAAUGGAGACUCUUGUGACAAGAUCGUGUCAAUAUGGUGACAGGAUCUGGUGAGAUGUGCCGAUGCGCAGCCGGUUUGACCCCUUCAUCACCUGCAGCAGUUUUGUAUAGAGAAUGCCUAAUUUCGAGGUCUUCGUUCCGCUCUGCACCGACGAAUUUCCACACAAAUCUGCUUCAAAAUUUGCUAUAUACUGCUUCGAUGCUGACGGAGAUUUCACAGCAUUGCGAGAAUUUAACGAUCCAAAUAAAGAUGUCAGGUUGAAAAAUUACAUGUUCUUUAGACGAAAUUCAAGCCAGAAACUUUACGAUGGCUAGAGAUUUGGCACACCGGAGAAACUGUAAGCAAUUUGGCUGCCAGAGACGGGGAAACAACAUCGACAGGAGUGGACUUUUUGUCGUUCUCAGAAACAUAAUUAGGCAACAAUUGCAAGUGCAAUCCUAGGUGUGUUUGCCUCUCAUUAGGUCGAAGAAGGGUUGCUCGGGAACUACCUGAUCCUCACAUCCAAGAUUGCUUCAGACACUAUGUGUCUAUCGGGAACGAUGCCAUCCACAAACAGACAUUUGACGAGUAUGGAUUCCGCGUCAAGAGGUUCAAAGAAGCUAUCACAAGUUAUGGAAGUUCUAAAAGUCGACUUAGAUGUCAAGGUACCUGGUGCAACUCUCCCCUAGGACUGAUGCAAAUCACGUUCUUAUACAGUAGGAGCAGCUCGGCUAGCUACUCCAGAUACACAAUGUUUUCCCCAUAAAUGUUCUCGACCUGAUUCCAUGUUGUUGCGACUGGUUGCGUGGAGUCUGGUUACAUGGGACAGUGCAGCCAACAGAGGUAUCGGUAAAAAUUCUGAGACCUGAUACUGCGGAAGAAGGUGUUAUUCCUUGACUGCCACUUAAUGGUGAAGCAGACCUUGCGACUCUAGCGCAGGUAUGUAUCAGUAUACUAGCCAACUAUGGGAAGCCGCAGAGGGCUGAUAAUUUCACAGACAGCCAGGGCAGAAUCACAGCAAUCAAUAUGGCAUUACGCAAUUUAUUUCAUGAACAACAAGCAUAGCCAUGGGGUUCUUCCUUUAACGGUCUCACAUUUGCGAUCAGCAAUGUUAUAACAACACCAGUUCUGAUUUCGUUACAUCCCAGGUUUCCUCUUGGAGGUAAUCAGAAUGAACGCCCACAUACAGGCAUUCCGACAUCAGUACAUUUUGUUUACUGGGAAAUGCGAUCUGUAAACUGUUGAUGCGGACAUGUGACUACUUACGUCUAUACUCAUUGAAAUGACCUGGACGAAGAUGGCACACAUAAGUGAAAAAAUUGCUUUCUACCGGAGAACUCCACUGCAUUCUUUCAGAACAGUUCCUAUGGAAACGAGUGCGAGUGCGAGUGGUCCAUGUUGUGGGCCGCUAGACAUUGAGUUGCUGGGGGUAGGCAAAUAGUUGUAGGAACGAGGGGAAUCAGGA